UUCUUGGCCUCACGAGCGUUUCGCUCACCCCGUAGAUUUGUUUUCCUUAACAGGAAUGGAUGGAGUGAAACUCGUUGGAACCCUUUGGAUGUACUUUUGUAUUAGGGUUUCAAUUGUAAUUGACUAGACAUUUUGGCUAUUGUAUAUAUUUGGGAAUUGAUGUAUUUUUGGAUCCUGACGUAAGAAUUGGAUAACGGAUGUAUUUUGAACACGUGGUACAAGACUUGGAUAUUCGUUUAUGGAAGCGAUUUUUCCUUAUUAGACUGGUAUAAAUUAUUAUAUAUUGUUAAGUUUGAAUUGAUUUGUCUCGAGUCCUGGCGAGAGCUAGGCAGGCGUUCCGCGGAUACCCUUGGGUUCGCCCUUGGGAGAAGUGGGGGCGUCACAAUUAGAGGGUUUCAGUCCUUGUGCAUAUGCCUAGUAUUUUGUCUGUUUCAUGGUCCAAAUUUUAGAAUGUUUUCUCGCAUAUUUUGGUUUGACGUUUCAAGCAAAUGUUAAGGAUUUCGUAGCUGCAUUUUCUGUUUUUCUUGCUUUCUUGGCAUAGAUCCUCUCGGUUGGGAUAUCUAAAGGUAGGCAACCAUGCUUGGGCAAUGUUAAAAAUUGAUGAUUAGGGAUGCAUGUGAGUUUGGUUAUAAAUAAUGAGUUUUUGUGCAAACUUUUGGUAUGAAGUCCGCGUGGGUUGAAGCUGCAAAUUUGCAGCAGAAAAUUGCAGAAGGAAACCUUGAAUGAACGCAACCUGGAAUGAACCUUGAAUGGGUUAUUAGUUUGCAUGUUUAAUCUAGUGUUUAUGAUGGUUUUCUGGAAUCUAACGUAAGCUCUCUGGGUCGCUAAUAAGUUGUAAAGUUACAGAGAAACUCUUGCUGCACUUUGUAAAGUUGUAAAUUCUUAUAGGGGUAUGUAAAUUGGAACAAACUAAAGUUUGGGGCAAUAUUUGAAGUUGAUAGAGUAACAAAUCCUUAACCAGUAAACAAACCAAAGCUAAAAGACCAAUUUAACCCUAAAGCUUCAGCAAUCAACCAUGAAACCAACAAAAAUAAGCAUCAGGAUUUUUUUUUUGAGCAGAAACCGAGAGAAAGAAACAUUGGAGUUUGGCUUGAGUAGGAGCAGCUUAGAAGAGUGUACCACCGACUGGAAACAUUGACCACCUAGUAGAAUAACUUUCUUCUGAUCCUUAAGUCUUCUAAGUAGAGAACUAAAUGAGUAUAAGAAGAAAAAUUCGUUGGCCAUAUCAAUUCACCGACUGCAGUAGAGAGCAACGAACUAGACAGUUGUCUUUCUUUCUUUCCUUCUAAAACAAACUGAGGGAGUGGAACUAAGAGUGAGGGAGAGAAAUUCGGUUAACUCCAUCAUCUGCUGAUCGUAAUCAAGAAGAGAAAAGCAAGGAAAACGGGAGGGAUAGCUGGUGUAGACCUUGAGGAAACAAAGCUAGGAAUUGAGGAAUCGAAGCAGAGGUUUUGUGCAGUCUGCAAUUAGCGGACUUUGGGGGAAAAAGAGGUAAGAUUCUGCAGUAACUCUUUGCUUAUUUAGUGUAAUUGGAUAUAUAUGAGCUGCAUGUUAAGUUUUAGCAUGGAAAUGAAUUUUUGACCGAGGAAAAAUUCUGGUUUGAGACUGAGUAGUUGCUGAGCUGAAAUUUUGUGGGAAUCGAGGGUCAUUUGUCGAAUUGCAGCUUGCUAACAGUAAAGGAUGGAAACUAAUGAUAGGAAAUGCAUGUAUUAUGUCUACUUUAUGUAUUAAAAGAAGGUUAGCUGUAGAAACUUGUGAAAAGUUGGAACUAUGAGCUGAAAUUAUUGAAAGAAACCUGCUGGAAAUCUGUUAGCUCCAACCGAGAGCAAGGAAGUUAGGAAACUCUAGCUGUCUUCGGCAAAUUUUGGCUUUUUAACUUUCGUAUUAAGCUGUAAUGUGUCAUAAAGCAUCUUAACUUCAUCAAGUAAAGCAGGAAUGAGUAUAAACUGAAGUGAACAUUGAAGGAAAGAUAAGUUCAAUCUAGUUGCAGAUAGGUUCGGCUGAGAGAAAGAACUUUUGAUCAGUCUUUCCUUCGAAUUUUAGUUGUGAACUUUUAUGUGUUCUGUUUAAGGCUACUCUGUAGCUUGAUAAUCAUGUUUUGCAUGUCAAGUUGGAGGUAACAUGGAAGAAAUUAAGGAAGUGGCUGUCUAUUAAAUUGCCAUCUUGAUGACUGCUACAUUUAGCUGAUGACAGAUUAGUAUAUAUGGCUUCUUGGCUGAACCAUUUACUGGAAUUAAUUAUUACUUGCCUUGGCUUAUGCUGGACCGAAAGUACAUUAAAGUACUUAAAGAUGUAAGCAAGUAAAAGAAUGAAGUUUUGAUGAAAAUCUGAAGUAAUAUUGCUGGAAAUUUAGCCAACAGGGAAGGAAGCAGAAGGUGCUUCUGAGUGGCCAUUUUUUACCUUGAAAAUGCGAGAACCGGAUGUCGAUAUCUUCAUAGCAAAUGUAGGUCUAUGUAUUAGCUUCAAAACGGUAUAAAAUUUGCCUCAAUACGAUAAGUGUAGCUUUAGUUAUGAUCAAAACACCAGAGGAUGGCAAGCUGCCAUCUUCAUUGUUCCUUGUUACUUUUCUUUUGUUUCUAGAGGCACUCUGCUAUGAUGUUGGACCAAAUAUAUGUUAUGUAUUUAGUGCUUUAAGCAAGUGAAAAUGGAGUACAUUAUGGCCGAGAGAAAGGUGAGAGUCUUGAGCAACCUUUGAGUUUGGUUGUCAACUUUACACGUUCUACUCAAGGCAACUUUGUAGCUUACUAAAUGUAACUAACCUGGCUAGUUGUAACAUGAGAGUGAAAGGAAAGAUUUAAGGGAAAAAAAUGAACUUCUAGGAAAUUUUACAUUCUAGCUACCUGGUUGCAAAACUACAUUUAUAAGUAAAUAAGAAAUUUAAAACUAAAAACUAAUGAGUUAAUACAAAACUUGAAUCAUAGGUAGCUUAGAAUUUUGUUCGGAAUUAAAAAUGGAAGGAUGGAAAGUUUAUUUAUUUUCACCUCAGAAUACAGAGUAGGGAAUAGCGUAAUCUUACUUUAAAUCUUUAUAAAUUAUAACCUUGGAAAAAAAUGUAUGAUCAAUAAAUAUUGGGUAUGUUAUAUCUUGUUUUAAACUAAAACAUGACUUUAAUACGUUUAGCGUAUAAGGUAACAAAUGAUAACUGAUAAUAUAUAAAUUGUAUAUUUAUUUUAGAACUUAGAGAACUAGUGUAAAGAAAUAACAUUUAAAUUAAUUAAACUAAACUUUAAUCUCGAAAUCUUAAAUGAAAAAUAAUCUAUUCCUAAUUUAGACAUUUUAUAAAUUAUAAACUUGAAAAAAAAUAAUAAGUAUAUUUCUUGGUUUAAAAUGAUAAAGUCAAUAAGUUGAAAUGAAAUGUAGAAUAAAUAUUGAAUAUAUAAUAUUUUAUAUUUUAAAGUCAAACUUGACUUUAAUCGAUCAAAUAAUAGGAUAAUAAAUAAUAAGUGAACAUCUACAAAUCAUAUAUUUACUUUGGAAUUAUGAACUUGUCUCAGGAAGUAGCUGUGAGCCAGAAAACGAACCCGAGGCUCGAGAAUAAUUUAUUUGGGUAUUUGAUGAGUGUUUUCCGAAUUUAUGUGUUUAACUGUUUAUGUGUAUCUAAGUGAAAUUAUGUGACAAGUGUUUAUCAUGAAUUAUUAUUAAAUGAUUCCUUGUGAAGUGUAUCUCAAUUGUCCCUCGCCUUCUAAGUCGGGAGUGUACUUUAUCGCACUCGGCUUAGUUGAGGUUGAAGGUCGAUAAUUAACUAAAUGUUACUGUAAGUGUGCAUGAAUGUAAGCCGUAUGUGCGUCUCACUGCAUCGGCUGAACUGGGCCCCAAAGCCCUCUGUUCAACGGACUAUUAGAGCCAGCAAAGGACUUGGUCGGGUAGGACGGUAGCUUUGGGUAAAUGUUUCAGUAUACUCGAGUAUUACCACGAGGUUGGGAGAUCAUUGCACUGAUUACUGAAUGUAGGGGAUUGUUUAUUAUUUUGGAGGAGAUAAGGAGGUGAAUUGGGAGAAAGUACAGCGAUAUUGAAAUGAAUGUGCAAUGAUAUUGAAAUAAAUGUACAAUGACAGUGAAAUGAGUGUCUCUUAACACUGAAAUGAAUGCUCAAUGACAUUGAAGUGGCUCUAAUGCGAGUACCGUAUCCUUUUAAAAGUGAUUGUUCAGUGAAGUAUUUCCUCGAUUGCUUAAUGAAAGUGAUUGUAUAGUGAAAUGUGCACUACUUGCUUAAUUGUAUUAAUUUAAGUGUUUACUAAAUGUUACUUGCUUGGCAAACCUCACUAAGGUUUAGCUCAACCCUUUAGUCUUGUUUUCCUUACAGGAGUUGGUGGUCGGGGAAAUGAACGAGGGAUCUUAGGGAGUUAACGUGAAGACUUUCGUGAUUAUAAAUUGUCUAGUAUCAUACCACGGCUGUAGCUUUUGUAUUGAAUUUGGCAUUGUAAAAGUUUUGAACGUAUGGUUUUAGUAUACCACAAUAUUAUAUCUGAAGUUAAAGUAAGUGAGUAAGCUCUGGCGAGAGUCAGGCAGGCGGUCCGCUAACUUCUAGGGUAUGCCCUAGGAGAAGGCCGGGUCGUCACAUGUUAAAUACAUAAAUAUUUGUAACUAAAAUUGAAAAAGUGUUACAUUAAUAUUUUUACGGAAGGGAAACUGGUAGGUUUUUUAUUUAACAAAAAUUAAAUAUUUGAGAGUACAAAGAUUUGUAUUUACUCUCAAAUAUUUAAUUUUUGUUAAAUACAAAACCUACCAGUUUCCCUUCCGUAAAAAUAUUAAUGUAAUAUUUUUUCAAUUUUAAUUACAAACAUUUAUGUAUUUAACAUAAAUUAAAUGAUUCAGAAUAAAAUGCCCAUAAAGAAUCAAUACUUUACUCAUCUAAUGGAUGAAAGCCAUAAAGAAUUAAUACUUUAUGGGUCAUUUCUUUUUUUAAAAAAAAUAUUUAAUUUAUAUUAAAUAGAUAACCUAUCGAUUUCCUUUUUGUAAGAAUAUUACUAUAACACUUUUUGAAUUUUACGUACAAACAUUGAUAUAUUUAUCAUAUAUUAAAUGUUAGAAAGUAAAAUACCCAUAAAGAACUGGUUCUUUAAAUAAGUAAGGCGUAUUUGCUCAUAAACGACAUCCCUUGAAGUUUGUUAAUUAUUAAUUGAUUUGUAAUAUUUUGUCAUUCAUUGGACAUGUAACACAAAGGGUAAAUCUAGUACAAAAUUCUAAUUUCACUCCCUAAAACAAUAUUUUAAUCGUUUGGACUGAAUUUGCAAAGGAUUAGUAAGUUCAGGGGAGGUCAGUGCAAGUGUUAGAAACCUCAGGGGAGGUUUCUGCAAUUAUCCCAAAAUCCAAUCUUGAUAUUUCAAUUUUAAUAUACAUGUUGACUACAUACUGUAGAAGUACCGAUUUAUCUUUUGGCCUAAUUUGCAGUUUGUAAUAGUAGUAUUCUCUGCGUGAAACAUUUUUGCACUUUUUUGUUUUCUGUUAACACCUGAUGCAUGAAAAGAAUAAUUGGUGUUACAAUUUAUUACUAUUUUUCUAAUAGUAUUGAAUGUUUGGGCAACAAUAAGAUAAAUUGUGAAAAUAGUAUAAGCAUAUUUGCAUCCUCUGCUCCUAUCAUUUCUUCUGUAGUUGCAAAUAUAUGAGGUGAUACAAUCCUUUUGCUAGGACAUGUUUGUGUAGAUGGCCCCACUUCUGAUGCUCAAGGUAACCUUUCUCAUUUGGAAUGCCAACCAAGUUCACCAUUUGAGAAUAUCAGUGGAUACUGCAUUGGAUCAUAGCAUCCAUAGUAGUGUUUCAUGAUUUGGGUUUUCCAUUCUUUGAGUAAACCUGUAUAUGCCGUGAAGCACUAUGGCCAGAAUUUGUUGGUUUAGUCCAGGUACCUUCAACUUGAAAAACUGUUAACUUAUUAUAAACCCUUUGAUCUACGGUUGGGUUUGACUACAAUGUCACCUUAUAGUCUUCAAGAAUCGACAGAUUCUGUAGACCGUGGAAAAAACAUGAAUAUGGAUUGAUUUCGAUAGAUAAUUUGGAUACCAAAUUCUUCUGAAAUUUGCUGGAAAUAGAAAACCGAUGCUCUACCUUAUGAUCCUUGUUUUAGAAGUGUAGAUGUAGGUUAACACAUGGCUUACCAUCAAAAAGUAUUAACGGAUUUAUAAAAUGGUAUAUUUGGCCCUGUACUCUGAAGGCAUAAACACCAUUGUAUUUUUUGCCCAACUUUAUCAGAAUAUAUUCCAAUAGAAGCAAAUGCAUAUAUAUUAUUUUAGCUUCGAACACAAUUUCGAAAAUUAUCAACUUCCUUAGAAUCAGAUUGAUAUAGUAGCAUAAGUUCUCUUGGAAUUUCUAUCUUCAACAAGCGAAUUUCUCCAGGCAAGCAACAAAAAUUUGGAGGCCAAAGAUAGAACAUAUUUUUUCGACAAUAUUGGUAAAAAGGUGCUUUUGGUAGUGUAGUUGCCUCUAUUGCAAUCUCUUGGAAUAUAUCAGGUUUGGUCCUCCUUUGUGAAAGCCACUGACGUUGACGAACUGUCUUUUGAUUAUUACUACUACCACCAUUAACAGAAGAAUUUGGUGGGGUGUCUUCAGAAGUACAAUUGGAGCUAUUUACAUGCUGCAAAGCAAUAUUCAUUUUGGUUUAUAUGCAUUGGUUCCGCUGGUGUCAAAUUCUCAUCUACAUUUUUUUGCACUGUGCUGAGCCAUCAAUGAAUUGUUGGACGUCUCAAUUUCCAUUGUUGUCCUUGGUAUCUACUAGGGUUGGAAGAGCUUAUGUUUGACAGCAUUAGUACCACUCUUAGUGCCCUUUUGUCCUCCGUGGUAUUAGCAGCAAAUGAAAGACCACUUGGAGUAACUGGCAUUGUAUUAUCUUCAUUUUUUCCUUUUUUUUUCUAAUGAUUCAAAUUUGGGCAUCACAGCUGUAAUACAAUCAGGCCUAUUAUUGGAAGGGUUCGCACCGUUAAUCUGUGCCUAAAUGCAUUCACCGGGGAGUUUCACUUUAGUAACUAUAGCAAUGGAAACUCUACUAAUUGACACACAAAAUAUGAAUUUCUUUCUUAGCAACACGAUGCACAUGACCCCGCCUUUCAUAGGAUCGUUCUUCUAAUGUCACGUUUUUCCUUUUUGGUGGCAUUUCUAACAACUUAACAUGUUCAAGUAAGUGACAAGGUAAACAAGUAAUGCUUAGCCAUUAUAAUUAAACAAUCACUCCCAAAUAAUAUUAUUUAGAUACUAAUAGCAAUAAAUAAUUGACAAUAUCAUCCAAGUAAACGUACAUGACAGAAGCAUGGUACCACAAAUGUAAACAAGCAGUGAAAUAUAGGCAAACAGGUAACCGAGGUAAGUGCUUGUAUAAACAUAGUCAUUCUAGCACUAUUAUGGAUCCACAAGUAUAGUUACCAAGAUAUUGUAAAGUAAUAUAGUCAUUCUAGUAUAAGUAAAUUGUGAAGUAGUUCUGUAUCAGACAUUAAGAACAUGACAAUUAAGAUAAUGGCAGCACACUAAGCAUAUUGAAUGCAUCAUCUGAAAAUCCAAACAAAACUGCAGUGCAUAAAAAUAAAUUAUAAGGAAAGAAUUUAUAAUAAGCCACUAAUAGCCUACUUCCAUAGGCUGAAGUAAGAAUAGGGCAAACAAAUCAAAUUUUCAAUAAUUACAAAGCUAAACAAAUUAAAAUCACACAAAUAAGUCAGCAGAAGAAAGUAUUAAAUAUGUUAAGGGAGAUACAUGUUAAGCCAGCCUAUGGUUAGGUUCGGGGCAUAGUAAAAAGACAAGAUUUGCAAUUAAGCACAGUCCAAUUACAGAAUAUUUAACAUUGCUUUGAUUAAAAAGUAAAUCUUGGGCCCAGAAUAGUCUGGGGCAGGACACUAUACAACAAUUGGAAACUAGUUCAAUAGCUUCCCAAAUAACACUAAUGUAUAGAAAUGAAUUGAGAAAGAAUUGAAGCUUUUAUGACUAAGCAAUAAUAAUAAGCCAACUCAUUUGGCUAAGUUAGAAAGAGCACUCUAAGCUGAUUUGUGCCAAAAUGAACUAGAAGAGAAGCUUUUAUCAUUAAGCAAUAAUAAUAAACCAACUCAUUUGCCUAUGUUAAACAGAGAUCAACCUCAUCAAAACUCGGUUAAUUAAAAAGGGAAAUACAUUAAAAGUAAAAAAAAAAAAAACAAGCCAACAACACAAAGUACUAACAAAAUUAAGGGGCACAUAGGGUAAAUGUAUGCCAAAAUUGAAGUUGUAGCAACAAGAUAAGCUUCUCAAUUAACCAUAACCCAAUCAUCAGAACUCGGUUAAUUAAAAAAGAAAAAACAUUAAAAGUAAAAAAAAAAAAGCUAGUGAGAAAAAGUACUAACAAAAUCAAAGGAGGCACAUGGUAAAUGUGUGCCCAGACUCAAGCUGUAGCAACAAGACAAGCUUCACAGUUAACCAUAAUCAAAUGACAAGGUAUUUUAUAUUAUUUGGUUAAAAAGUGAGAUCAGUAUUCAAAAAGGUCCAACGCAAAGCACUAUAAGCUUAAUUAAGAACAACUCAAUAAUUAUAAUCACAAACAAACCUUAAAUAAAAACCAAUUGACCAUCCUUCAAUUUCUUCUUAAAAGCAGAUGGUCAGAAUACCCUUUCACACACCCACACUAAGCGCAUAGAUGUUCGCAUAUGUAACUCCAACGUUGGGCAAAUAAGCAAAGGCUUAGAAGGCAAAGUUUACACGUUCACUCCCCUAGUGGUUUAAUGAUUAAAUUGGUGUAAUCUAAGAAUAGGCAUGGCAGCAAUGAAUUGCACACCACCGCUUCCACCAAACUAAAUUCUAAAUUAUCCAUUCUCACAUUCAAAUAGGGAAAAGAUGGGAAUGGUAAUAACCUAUCCAACGCAUUCUUUAGUCGCACGAUUCUAGAAAGUAGAGCCUGUAGGCUCGUAUCACCGGGCAUUGGAUAAAAUACCCCUCUAAUCCAACGAUAGCAACGACACCAGCAAGGAGCGGACUAUUGGUUGCGGUCGAAAGAACAAGGCGCUGCUAUCAUGUUUACUAGUCAACGCCAAAUACUAAAAAACAUCAAAGCCACAGCAAGUUAUGCAGCCCAGUCCUUUUUUGAAAUGGCAUUGAUGGAAUAGGUAGGCCUUAUUGUCAGGAUACGGGGCAGGGACGGUCCUCAGAAGGACCGUCCCUGAGCGGUCCUCUCACAAAAGGAAAUGAGAGGACUGCAACAGGCCACGUAUAAUGGGAGCAACAGCAAAGGAAAACGACGUUGUUUUAGUAAGUGAGUAGGAUAAAAAAUAAAAAAACAUUUGAGGGGCUAACGGGCUCCGUUAAAAUGCCUCAGCUGUCCGUUCCAAAAAUUCCCGCUCAAAUUAAUGAGGCACGACUCUUCAUCUGAAAUCUUCAAAUGAAAUAGAAUUUUGGUCUCCCUCCAAAAACAUAUCUUGUGAACAUUCAUUCAUUCACAAUUCCAGAGUAUCAGCAAAAUGAUAUCCCUACCCCAAAUUGGGAAGUUUCAGAUGAGAGGUUUUUGGAGAAAGUGUUGCAGAAAUAUAGUGUCAUCAAUCAGAAGUAUAGUGUUGCAGAAGUAACUGUUGCGGGACAAAAAUUUUCCAUAAAGGCUGCAAAAAGACGGAAGUUGGUGAGAUCUGAAGCAGAGAUAGACUCGAUCGAAUUGGACUAAAUCCCAAAGGUAAGAAUAUUGCAAACUCAUUGCACUAUUUGGCUUGUUUUGCGACAGAAGGGGGAUGAAUUUACUUGCAUGAUUUUGUUUGUACAACUCGUUUAAGACAGUGUGACAUGAAUAAUGAAAUUGGAAUUCUAGCGAAAACUCCUAAACAAGGAAAUCAUACGGGUAGCAUAAAUUAUAUACAUUGAGAGCCAACUUAAAGAACGUAUGCACAGGGAACUUAUGCAUGCCAAGUGUUUGUAAAUUUGACUCAAUAGACGAAUUAAAGUUCUCACCUUUUAAAAUCUGGUUGCAUAGUAUACAUAUGUCUUGGCUAAAAGAGGUUGAGUGGGGUGGCUUGUGUAGCAAAAAUUAUCAGGGUAGUUGAUAAGUACAUGUCUAUCAAAAUUUACAACCGCAUGGCGAGAAAUUUACAUAACUUAGCUAUUUCUUUGAAUUUGCAAUUGGGUGUUGGUUCAUCGGUAAUGUUGUCUACAUGGCACAUAAUACGAUAAUAAAGUUGCUAUACAGAUGGUUAGUAAUUAUGUUGACUUCAUCGCAGUGUGUAUGUGUUGAAAUGGGCCAAACGUGUACAUAUAUAAUUAAUGACUUAUGUGCAAUCUUUUUGUUGAUGGAACGAGUAAGUGCAAUGGUUCACAUUGUGAUGACUGAUGUACACGUGGUAAUUGACAGAAAAUGCAGUUGUUGAUAGCAACAAGUUGACAGAGGAUGGGAUUCCUAAAAUAGGAAUGGGGUUUGACGCAGAAGAUGAGGCUUAUAAAUUUUACAAUACAUAUGGUUUUGUCAUAGGUUUCAGCAUCCAAAAAGACUACUUGAACAAGGACUAGGAUGGCUUGACAACAUCAAGAAGGUACACUUGUUGCAAGGUAUCCCAUAAUACUUGUGUAUGCUUACAUGGUCAUAAAUUUAUAGAAGUUAGCCUAUUGUUUAAAUUUGCAAUUAAUUGUUGGCCCUUACAUACUAUCACGUACACACACAUAAUGUGAAAAUGAAUUUACUAUAUAGUUGUUCGUUGGUUAUAUAGAAUUGAUAUAAACGUACAAAUUGGGAUCUGAUAUGUUAUACCCUGCAUGCAAUUGUUAAUACAUUAUAUCUUGUUCAAUUUAUUUUGCAGCAUACCAAGGAUAAAUACAGCUUCUUUUCACAAAUUAAUGGAUAUCAAUCAAAGGUGGUAGAGCAAAGAAGUUAGAUUAGAUAAUUAGAUGAUUUUUUUUUUAUUUUACCAAACUCAUAACACUCAUUAGAAUAUAUUUACACUUAGUUCUUAGUGCAUUACCACAUGUUCAAUCUAUUUUAUAAUGUACUAGGAGAAAGAAAAGUUAAAUUGCUAAUUUUAGAUUUUGUUUAUUGAUAUUGCUAAUAUGCAGUUAUUUGUCCACAUGCAUAUUGCAAUUAGUUAUCGCAACCACAUGCAUAGUGCAAUGGUAUGCAUACAUUUGGAAUGAUUAUUAGUGCUUUAAUCCACCUGUGCAUCUCCUUGCAGGCUACAGUGGGUGUGUAAUUUUAUUUGUAUGACUAAUACUAAUUUGUCUAUAAGCAAAUUACAUGGGAUGAUCUAUCAGGUACAAUCAGUUUACAAAAAUGUACAUCAUAUUAGAUGUUAGUUACUUGACCGUGUAUAUUUAUGAAAGGUAAUGCAAUGGUAUGCAUAACUUUGGAAUGAUUAUUAGCCAUUUGAUCAACUUGUACAUCUCUCUACAAUUGAUGCAUAAUUUUACUUGUAUGAGUAAUACUAGUUUGUCUGUGAGUAUCUUACAUGGGGUGAUCUAUGAGGUACAAUCAGUUUAUAAAAAUGUACAUCAUGUUAGGUGUUUGUUACUUGACUAUGUAUAUCUGUAACAGUGAGAUUAGAUAUAGUGCAAUAAAAAGUAGCCACCUGAGUUGGAAUGUAUUUUAGAAACUUUGGUAUAAUACUAUUAGCAUUUUUUUUGUGAAGUGUACACGUUGUUAGUGGGUACGGAGUAGUGCUAUAUGUUAUGUAUGCUUACAUAGUCAUAAAUUUAUAAAAAGUUAGUCUAUUGUUUAAAUUUGUAAUUGGUUGUUAACUCUUACACAUUGUCACGUGCAUAUACAUAAUGUAAGAAUGAAUUUACCAUAUAAUUGUUCGCUGGUUACAUAGAGCUCAUAUAGGCAUACAAAUUAGGGUUUGAUUAACUAUACCGUGUAUGUAAUUGUUAACACAUUAUAUCUUUUUCACCUUAUUUUGUAGCAUGUGAAGGGCAAAUAUAGCUUCUUUGACAAAUCAAUGGAUUUCAAUCAAUGCUGGUGGAGCAAAAAAAUUAUAUUGGAUAAUUAGAUAGUUUCAUUAUGUUGUACUCAUAACAAUGUGUAGAAUGUACUUACAUUUAGUUCUUAAUGCAUUAUCACAUGUUCAAUCUAUUUUACAAUGUACUAGAGAAAAAAAAGUUAAAUUGCUAAUUUUAGAUUCUAUUUAUCAGUAUUGUACAUCUAGUUAGUAUUUAAGUAGUAUUUGUUGUUAAUUUUUUUAUUGUUAGCUCGAUUUGUUUAACAAUAUAUCCAAAGUAGUAACUUCGAUUCUAUCAAUUGGUAAAAAAAAAAAUUCUAUUGCUAAUUAGUAACAUCCCGAUGUUGUACCCCAUGUUAGUAUUUAUUGACUUUUUGUUGCUAUCAUCUUACAAACUGUUUAGUCCAUUUUAUGAUAUGUUUAAGAAAAUAAAAAUUUUUGUUUUACAAAUUGGUGAAAACUAGUUACAUUUAGUUAUUUAUAAGUUACAUACAUGUUGAUUAAACACAAAUUUAACUAGUCAUAUACCACUAUUAUGGAAAUAGUAGCUUUAGGUAAAAUUUUAGUUGUCAAUAUAUUAUAAUCUCAAAAAGUAGUAAUUGUCCAUCAGUAAAUUUGUAACACCCAAUCAUAGUGUCACUCGUUUCUGUUUUUAUCAAACCCCAAACUAAAAACCUUAAAAACGUGGUUGGAAUAUCAAUUUUGGCAUACUUCUAUCAUUUAAUUGAUCUUUGAACAAAUAUCCUUAAGUUUAUUAGCUGUGAUGCAUAUAAAAAUAAACCAAAUGAAUACUCUAGUUAUAACAUUAUGGACAACAAUUCUAAUGGAUAUAUACAAUGCUUCAAACAAAUCUACAAGUUGAACAAAAAUCUACGAUGAUUACAAUGAUAUCUACAAGGAUUCUUACCUAUCAGUACAUAACAUUUUGUAUAAAUCGAAAUUGAAAAUUUACAAAUGUCGUGCUAACAAAAAUCUAUAAAAAUAAAUUAAAAGAGUUAUACAAUGCUGUUAACUGAGUUUCACUUGCUCCAUUUCUUCUUCUCAAGUUGAUUUCUUCUUUUUCUUUCUAAUUAUAAAUGGUGGGAUUGGUUCUGCAAGGUCAAUAGUUCCCACUUUUUAUAUUUCUUCCUUUUCAUUUGGAUUCUUCUUUAUCCUUUUCCGUGCCAUCUUGCCACUACUCAUGCAAAUUGUAAAGGCUAUUUACUUUAUUCAAUACAUAUCAGUUUGGCUAUUAGUGAUAUAUGACUAGUUAAAUUUUUAUUCAAUCAGCGUGUAUGUAACUUACAAGUAACCAAGGGUCCGUUUGGUUGGAUCGAAAUGGAAAAUAUUUUCCUAGGGACAAGGGAAAAUAUUUUCCAUCGAAGUCAUUUUUCUGAAAAAUCACUUCCUUCUCUAUAAUUUUCCAGUGUUUGGUUAUUAAGUGAAAAUAUUUUCCAAAUUCCUUUUUUCAUAAUUUUCCAAUGUUUGGUUUGUCAAUGAAAAUAUUUUCUAAUAUGUUUGUUGAUAUGUUGCAAAUAUUUUUCUACUCUUAAAACAUUCAUUUCAUUACAAGUUAAUUUUAGUUUCUAUCCAUUAUAAUCAUAUUAUCAUUUCUAUAAAAUAUUUAUUCAUAUUACACCAUGAAUUCUUAAAUGAAAUUAUUAAUGAUACUAAUGAAUUGGCUGGGAAAGAAGAAUUAAAAAUCAAACGAAAACCUAGCUGAACACUAUUCUUUAUUGGUAUAGUAUCAUGUCAUUAUGUUGUUCCUUUGAAAAGGGAGAAGAACCUAAAUGCAGAGAAUCCUAUAUUGGAAUAUAAACCAAGAUUUCAACUCCAGAAUCAAAAACCUUAUUCAUGGUACAGAAUUAGAACCAUUGGUACAUACAAGCACCCUAAUCAAGCCUAGAGUAACUCAAAUCCCUGCUUUAAAUGUUGUUGGCCUCAGUUGGAUAAAAAAUAUGGAGCAAUUCAAUACAUACAGAGGCAAAUAUAAGCCAAAAUAUAAAAUAUUGCUCAACAAAAACGAAAAUUACAUCUCCAAAUGGAAAAUGGUCCCAAAAAUAUCAGUUGCCCAGGUAGUAAAUCAUGGAUACAAAAGGAAACAUCUAUACAACACGUCACCAAUGUUCAUGUGAACGUUUUACAGGAAAAAAUUUAGUGACCAGAGCUUUGAACAAAUCCAGUUGGCGUGCACCUACAAAUUCCCAAGGCCACGGCAAGUGGCAAGGUACUCAGUCAGCCCUCCUUUUUUCCACUUGUAGAUCACCUCCAAGGUUCAAUGGUGCUGAAACACAACAGGAAAAAUAAAUAUCCUUAUACGUGAUAGGAUCUAGUUCUUUCUUAACUAACCGAUGCUUUCUUUUUAUUUUAACCUGCCACAUGCGUUGAUAACUCAACAAUGACACAAUGGACAUUGUGAAUAGCCAGUAAAUAAACCCCCAACAAGGAUUUAUAAUGACUUACCUUACUAUCUAUGUGACAUACAUAUGGGCAUGUUGGACAAAAGAAUCUGGCAGGGCGGUCCAUAUGCGGCAAUUCAUACUGCAAUAACAUCCCACAAGUCCGGCAAAAUUCCAUUGCAAUCUCUUUUAGGAUAAUCCACUAUUUAUGUAUGUCUCUAUAAAAUUAAAACAAGGGCAAAAAAGCAUCAGAGUAACAUAAUAUUAGCACACAAACUUAAUCUUCACUUGAUUGUUUCAUUCACAAUUUAAAAUAAAUAAGUAAUACAUAUGCAAGAUGCGCAAAAAUGAAGCACUAACACAGUGGCCAUAAAGAAAGGAAAACAGAAGUAUCUAGAUGAUUAGAAAAGAAAACAAACUCUUUGAUUUGACUCAAAAUGAUGAGCAUUUCAUUCCUUUCUAUUGUUUACCUUUCGACACACACGCUCUCUCCUUUCUCUUCUUUCUUCUCCCUAAUCCCAGAAGAGUAUAUGCGCAACUGAAUGAAUAUUUAAGAUACUAGAGAACCUCACCUUGCGAACGUCUUAACAACUUAACCUUUACCCCAAUCUCAAAACAUAAAUCCUAAAAUUUAAAUUCUCUAGACAAGAAAUCCCAACAUUCAGUAUUUUAUCGGUCAGAGAAAUCAAUAACAACCAUAUACAUUUAACAACAAAUUUCUCAAUAGAAAGACAAAAUCAAACUCUAAGGACACCAAUUGAUUGAUAAUUUACCAAAAACUACUAAAGUUUCUUAAUCUAUCAAUCAAUUGAUACAAAAACAAUCGUGCAAGCUCAAGCCCUUACCUCAAUAAGAAUCGUCAGAAAAAGGGAGCGGAGCAAUAAAUUUUACCAGAAUUCCUAGAGCUUCAUAUAAUUAUAGAAAAAGAAAACUUAAAACUAAAGACAAAAGAAGCAUCUUUCAAAAAAAAAUCCAAAUUCCUCCGUGAAACUAGUGCCACAAUUCUCAAGAACUAUAGCAUCAAAAUUAAAAAAAAAAAAUCGAUAGAAUCCUAGACUGGAACAACCGAUUUUAUCAGAUUUUUUUGGAAAAAAAUAAAAGAUAUUCAAGACAAAGCCCUAAAUAAGAAUCUCACCCAAGGCACCUUGCCAGAGUUGGAGAUGGCUGCCAUCAGAAAUGAUCAUAUUGUUGGUGAUUUCUCAGUCUCUCCAAUCUCCAUUGCUCACUCUCUGUAUCUUUAGCCGCAAAGCCUUUGUUUGUUUUUGUUAGAAUGUGGGAGUAGGGAGCUCUAUUGUGAAGUGCAAGAGCCGCUCAUUUUAAUGAAGGAAAAUAACUUCAGUAAGUCAAAAGAGGAAGUUAUUUUCCACCAAGUGAAGUAAAAUAUAUUCCCCGCGUAAAUCUUUUUCCAAGAUAAAAUGAUUACCAAACACGGGAAAAUUUGAAAAAUAUUUUCAGGAAAACAUUUUACAUUCAAACAAACACACCCCAAAUGUAACUAAUUUUCACUAAUUUAUGAAAUAAAAAUCUUUAUUUCCUUAAACAUAUCGUAAAAUGGGCUAAACAUACCUAAUGUCUUUGCUUCACCAGUAUUGAUUGAUAUCCAUUGAUUUGUCAAAAGACGCUAUCUUUGCCCAUGACAUGCUGCAAAAUAAGGUGAAUACGAUAUAAUGUGUUAACAAUUAUAUACAGAGCAUAGCUAAUCAAACUCCCAUUUGUAUGCCUAUAUGAACUCUAUGUAACCAAUUAACAACUAUAUAUUAAAUUCAUUCUUACAUUAUGUGUAUGCAUGUGAUAGUGUGUAAGGGCUAACAACCAAUUACAAAUUUAAACGAUGGACUAACUUCUGUAAAUUUAUGACCAUGUAAGCGUACAUAACAUAUAGCACUAUUCCAUAUCCACUAACAACGUGUACACUCAACAGAGAAAUUUUAAUAUCAACUAUACCAAAGUUUGUAGAAUACAUUCCAACUCACGUAACUACUUUUUUCUGCGUUAUAUCUAAUCUUUCUUUUAUAUAUAUAUAUAGUCAAGUAACUAACACCUAACAUAAUGUACAUUUUUAUAAACUGAUUGUACUUCGUAGAUCACCUUGUGUAAGAUACUCACAGACAAACAAAGACUACUCAUACAAGUAAAAUUACACAUCUACUAUAGGGAGAUGUACAAAUUGAUUAAAUGGCUAAAUAACUGCUUCAAAUUUAUGUAUACAAUUGCACUACCUUUUAUAGAUAUACGCAUUGAAGUAACUAACAUCUAACAUAAUGUACAUUUUUGUAAACUCAUUGUACCUCAUAAAUCACCCUGUGUAAGGUGUUUAUAGGCAAAUUAGUAUUAUUUACAUAAAUAAAAUUACACACCCACUGCAGCCUGCAAGGAGAUGCACAAGUGGGUCAAAGCAUCAAUAACCAUUCCAAAUGUAUGCAUACCAUUGCACUGUGCAUAUUGCUGUGAUGACUAAUUACAAUAUGCAUGUGAACAAAUAACUGCAUGUUUAACAAUUUCUAUGCAUUGUAUUGAUGAAUAACAUAUUGUACAUUCUGAUAAAUAUGGUGUACAUCACACACCUUAUCUAGGCCAAUAACCAUUUCAAAGUUAUAGAUACCAUUGCAGUACCUUUCACAGAUAUACACAGUCAAGUAACUAAUACUUAACAUGAUGUACAUUUUUAUAAACUGAUUGUACCUCAUAGAUCACCUAGUAUAAGGUGCUUAUAGGCAAAUUAGUAUUACUCAUACAAGUAAUAUUACACAUCUACUGCAGCUUGUAAGGAGAUGCCCAAGUUGGUCGAAACACCAAUAACAUUUCCAAAGGUAUGCAUACCAUUGUACUAUCUUGUAUAGAUAUACACAUUUAAAUAACUAAUACCUAAGAUGAUGUACAUUUUCGUAAACUAAUUAUAUUUAUACAUCACAUUGUAUAAGGUGUUUACAGACAAAUCAAUACUACUCAUACAAGUAAAAAACAUUUACUAAAAAUCAGUACAAGUUGUAGCUGCAACGGCUAAUUGCAAUAUGCAUAUGGACAACUAACCGCAUAUUCAAUAAUUUUUACACAUUGUAUUUGGUCGGUUACAUGGUGUACCUUAUUUCAAUCAGAUUGUACAUUUACUAAGUAUGUAUGUACUGGCCAUUCAUUGAAGUAAACUAUCUAUCUAAUUUAAUGCACUCUCAUAGGCACUAAUUGUCAAUUUCAUAGACGAUUGGAACAAAUAACCAUCUAGUAAAAAUAUCUGAUAUAAAUGUUAUUAAUAACUAACAUGCUAUACGUUCCAUUAAACACGGUGUACAUCACAUACCUUGUCUAGGCAAAAUCUUACAAGUUUUCAAAAGUUUCGCCAUACUUUAAAAGCAAUUACAAGUAGUAAAAUUUAUACCGUGCAACAAGUUACACCAUACUUUAAAAGCAAUUACGAGUAGGCAAAUAUCAUUGUAAUCAUGUUAUGGGAUACCUUGCAACAAGUAUACCUUCUUGAUGUUGUCAACCCAUCCUAAUCCUUGUUUAGUUAGACUUUCCGGAUGCUGAGACCUAUGACAAAAUCAUAUAUGUGAGUGAUGGUCAUAUAGUGUCACAGUUGUGCACAAUAGGUUUUCGAUAAUAUACAUGUUGUUAGAUGACAGUUACGGUUUAUAGUCAUAAAUGUACGCAUUGUGAGUCAGGCAUUGCAGUGUUGUACUCCCUAUUUCAUUUGUAUAACUCACUUUACUUAACUUUUAUCUUUGUAUACUGUGAUGUAAGCGUCCAUACACAGUCGGUAAUACAGUUUAAACUAUACGGUGUCACUGCUAUUCUGCAACAAGAAUAAAAAAAAAAAGGAAGUAACAAUUACCUUCACACUUUACACUCUCCCUGUUAUUUUAUAUACCUAUAAACAUUCUAAGUCAUUUAAUUCGUCUAUUGAGUCAAAUUUACAAACACUUGGCAUGCAUAAGUUCCCUGUGCAUACGUUCUUUAAGUUGGCUCUCAAUGUAUAUAAUUUAUGCUACCCGUAUGAUUUCCUUGUUUAGGAGUUUUCGCUAGAAUUCCAAUUUCAUUAUUCAUGUCACACUGUCUUAAACGAGUUGUACAAACAAAAUCAUGCAAGUAAAUUCAUCCCCCUUCUGUCGCAAAACAAGCCAAAUAGUGCAAUGAGUUUGCAAUAUUCUUACCUUUGGGAUUUAGUCCAAUUCGAUCGAGUCUAUCUCUGCUUCAGAUCUCACCAACUUCCGUCUUUUUGCAGCCUUUAUGGAAAAUUUUUGUCCCGCAACAGUUACUUCUGCAACACUAUACUUCUGAUUGAUGACACUAUAUUUCUGCAACACUUUCUCCAAAAACCUCUCAUCUGAAACUUCCCAAUUUGGGGUAGGGAUAUCAUUUUGCUGAUACUCUGGAAUUGUGAAUGAAUGAAUGUUCACAAGAUAUGUUUUUGGAGGGAGACCAAAAUUCUAUUUCAUUUGAAGAUUUCAGAUGAAGAGUCGUGCCUCAUUAAUUUGAGCGGGAAUUUUUGGAACGGACAGCUGAGGCAUUUUAACGGAGCCCGUUAGCCCCUCAAAUGUUUUUUUAUUUUUUAUCCUACUCACUUACUAAAACAACGUCGUUUUCCUUUGCUGUUGCUCCCAUUAUACGUGGCCUGUUGCAGUCCUCUCAUUUCCUUUUGUGAGAGGACCGCUCAGGGACGGUGAGGACCGUCCCUGCCCCGUAUCCUUAUUGUCAAACACCAUUUCAUAAUCAGGGUAUUAUAGGCAACCAACAAAUACACAAAUGAUCUACUCAAACAGCAGCUAUUGGAGUAAUACUUAUAGGGCCUCCAAAUUGACAGAAAACACCCACGUACUAAUGAGCCCAUAGGGGACCACCAGUACUGUUCCUAUACCAAACUCCCCUUUUUUUUUCUUGGUCAUGAUGUGCCGCUCGCUGAUACCACUCUGUAAAACUCUCCAAACUCCACCAUUUGCUAGUGUUGUUUGCUCUACAAAUACAAAUUCUUUUGUAGUUGUACAAAACUAAGAAGCAACCAAUGAUGGACAAAAGACUGCAUCGAGAAUGGGAAGGAAAAAAAAGCGUAAAUUACCUUUUACGCUUCCGUAGUUCGGUGCUCUGCUACGUAACCUUCGUAUAAUUUGAAAAUCUAUAUAUAACUCUUUUAUAAUUUGAUUUAAAGUGUUACCGUUAGUUUUUUUUAUUAAAACUAGCAGCCUAUAGUAAAAAGUGAGAGUUAGACUAACAAAUUGACAAAUUUACCCCUUCAUUACAUUUUUCAUUUUCCUCCAAAUAUAGAAAAAAAGAAAUUGAACUAAAAAAGUAAAUAAUUAAAAACUAGGUAAUUCCAUUAAAGUUUUGGUUUAAAACCCUAUAAUGAUAUUUAUAGUCAAAAAAGAUUUGGUAUUUUUGGUUUCUUAUUUAUUUGUUUUAUAUUUCCCUUCCAUCUUUUUUGUUUAUUAUUUAUUUUUUUUAUUUUACUUCCAUCUCUUUUGUAUUUGGAGAAAAUUAAUAUUUUCUAGGCUAAAGUAUAGGUUUGCAAAAUCAUCUCUCCUCUCCUCCCCCCUUCCCCAAAGAAAAAAGAGAAAUAGAAAAAGAAAAGGGAAAAGGAAAAAAAGGAAAAAAAAUAGUGAAAGGGUGAAUUUGUUAAUUUAUUAGCUUGAGAUUAAGGAAGCGUUUGAUAAAACUAAAAUAUAAAAACUGAAAUAUGAAAUCUAUUAAAUUAUUGAAUUGUUAAAUAUUAAAUCUAAUACAUUUGAGUGUAUAUCCAAUUCAGUGAUAAGUGAAUAGUUUAGCACUUAUUUUUUGAAGCAAGUUUUGCCUAAAAAAUUCAGUAUUAUUUAAUUAAUUCAGAUGUUCAGUUUUUUAUUAUCAAACGCGUUUAAACAUAUUAAAAUCUGAAUCCAUUAAAUUUAAGUGCUGAAUCGAGUUAUCAAACAUGGCCUAACUUUUUGCUAUUGAUUAUUAGUUUUAACAGAAAAACUAAUGGUGACACUUUAACCCAAAUCAUAAGCAGGUUAUAUAUCAGUUUUUAAACAAUAAGAGGGUGAUAUGAUAAAGCAUCGAACCACAGGAAGGUAAAAGAUAAUUUAGCCAAAAAAAUACACAAACUUAAAACCAAUUAAAACCAAAACUUUCAAGUGCAAGUUACAACCUAUUUUUAAACUAAUUCUGCAUAUAUGGAUAGAUUUCGUAGUUGAUUUUUUAAAACUAAUUUUGAAAAUAACACUAACCAGAAAAGAUAGGUGGAAAGCACGAAAAGAAUCAUUUUGGAUUUCCUCUUUGGAAGAAUUAUGCUGCGGUAUUCUUCAUAAUUCUAUGUACACGUCCAUCACCACGUUGCAUGUUAGCGGAGGAACACGUCCAUCAAAUGGGCAGGGAGAUAGAGUCAAUUGCAGAUUGCAAAACGAAUUGGGACAAUUAUCAGUCUCAGAUUCAUGUACAGGUCACUGAAUUAGCAGAUGUUCAUCCUUAUGGAUAGGACUGUACAUACAGUACUUUACAGCCGCAGGGCCCGCAACAUCUGGGUUACGCACAAUAGAAUGCUACAAUCUUUUGGCCUCUAUCAGUUUUGUAAGGUUUCAUUCUUUUAGUCUUGAUUUUUGUUUCUAAGCAACUUGGACAAUUAUCUAAGAGCAUAUAAGAUAGCAAAGAUCCUGCAGCCUUUCUUCUGAGAAUUCGAUGGAUGGGAAAAUUCUGAAAUUGCCAUUUCUUGAACAGGUGAUUGUGAGUUGCUCUGUGCUUACUAUGCUCUGCAUCUGCAAUUGAACACAUAACAAUUUGAUUCAAUCUUCAAGUGUUUCCUCAGCCACUUUCACAAAGUAAGGGUGUAUUUAGAAUAAAAAUUUCGUGCAAAGCGGAGGGUAAAAAAAAAAAAUCUGAAAUUUCACUUCCAGUAGAAGGCUGCUAAAAAGCUCUCAAGCUAAUGCUGGAAAUAAGAGCACGCAAGACAGAAAACCCAAGUUUUGAACUGAUAAGGAGAACUAACUAAAGAGAAUGGAGGAGAUCUGACACUGCUUUUAUCCACCUUUUUAAGCAAUUCAGAAGCUAACGUUGGAAAAAUUGCUGCUAUUGCACAAAAUUAUAGAAUCCGAAAAUUAUGCAGAAAAUGAAAAAACACAGAAUUUCACUUCAGUAGUGAAGCUGCUGGAUAUUUCUCCUACUCAAUGCUAGAAAUGAGAACGUGCAAGACAGAAACCCAAAGUUUGGAACUCGCAAGAAGAACUAAACAGAAUUGCAGACAUCUGACAUUGCUUUUUAUCCUCUAUUUUGCGGAAUUCAGAAGCUAAAAUUGACAAAACUGCUAUAUCGUUGAAACAAAUAGAUAAGAAUGAAACAGGUUAAACUUCAGGUUUUAGAAAUAAACUAUCAAGUUUUGACCACAUUAUGUACCUCACAAUGCAUUGGUCUGUUGCUGCAGCUCCACCAUUUGGAAGGAACACAAUCUAAAUAUUGGCACGGCCUACAGUAUUGGUUUGCAUCCAUGCCGUGAAGAACUCCAAUGGUAAGUCCUGCAACUCUGAAUGCCAAACUCAUGUCGGACCAUAAGUUCAGAGCCACUAAGCAUAAUCUACUAAAAUGACAAACAAAAAAGAGAAAGGAAAACUUACAAAAUGCUAAAGAAAACUAGAGCAAUGAUUCUCAGAAGAGGCUUGUCCAAUUUGUUCCUCACUCUAACAGCUUGUUUAACAUCAAAUUCAAAUAAACCAGCUUUGUUAUGAGCUGCUUUCCCAACUAGAGGUUUGAAAAGAAGCACAAAGCCAACAAGAAACCCAGAUAAGAAUCCUCCAAAAUUAGCAAAGUUGUCAACGUAUGGAAUAAGCCCAAGGAGUAGAUUAAUAGAGAUGAUAACAGAGAGUGCCAGAAGAGCUGCAAGCUGCAUUAACCACAUGAGUCAUUAGAAGUAUAGUUGAAGGUGAACAUUAAUGUGAGAAUCAGGAAAAUAGGAGACCUUUUUGGUAUAAACUUUCCAGUUUCUCAUAAGCCCAGAUAACAUCAUUCCAAGGAGCCCAAAUAGUGCUCCAGAGGAAGUAACUGAAGGUCUAUGUUGGAUAAAAAGAGCACCAAGCAAACUACCAGUUACAGCUGAGAUCAGAUAGAUACUUCCAACCCUCACUAGCAAAAGAAAAAAAAAAACUUAAAUAAAUAAAUAAACAAACAAUAAGGCAUACAUUAAACUUCUCCCAGAUGAAUUCAUGCAGGAACCAAUCCAUGCAAAUCAACAGCAAUAAAAUCUUACCUGGUCCAAAUUCUUGCACUAAAUGAACUCCAACAUAGAUGACACUAAAGAGGUUCACAAUAAGAUGGAAAACUCCUGCAUGCAGCCAUGGGCUUGUAAAAAGACGCCAUAAUUGAUGACGUUCUGUUAGAAGAGUCUCUUGAAGAGCCCCCAUUUUAUUCAGUCUACACCAGGAGGAACACAUAAAACCAUUCAGCAAUAGAGGAUCACAACAGAAACACAUAUUCAACAGGGAGAAAUCUGCGUGCUUAUCCUUGUUCUUUAAAUUAAACUUUGAAUGAGACAAACUCCACAAGGUUAAAGCAUGAACUGAAAAAUGUGUUUGACAGGUAAAAACAAACUUUACUGACAAAAGAAGAUGAAACAAAAACAAAGGAUCAAGCACAAUUUAACUCUGCAGACACCAAACUAUGGCAAACAUAUGGCAGAAGCUCAAAUACAGCCAGACAACAGGCCAGAAUUUGAUCUUGAAUCACAAAUAAGUAGGCAUGAAACAAAAUGAACUACCUCUUCCAUGAUUUCAUUUACAUUCUCAAGAAGAAGACAAAAAAGAUUGUUAAACUCCUCUUACCAGGAAUACUCUGUCAUACCUAUUCUCCAAUGAAUCAAUUCAUAUGUCUAAUAUUUGUCAUAGUAAGCUACCAAAAGAUUUCUUUCAAACAAUAUUGCUGAAUUAUGACCAACAGAACAUUCUUCUAUGCCAAAACGGAUAAUUCAGCUAUCUUCAGAACAAGCACAGGCAGCAGUUAAAAAAAAGAAAGCAUGGAACUACCGCAAAUACACCCUAAAUUCAAUGCAGCAUACAACUAUACAGACAAAUUUAGUUGUGAUUAGUCCAGCAACAACAGAUGUAAAACUUCAAAAAUUAAACAGGCAAUGACCAAAAAAAAAGAGAAAAAGAAUAGAAUUGGGAAAAAAAAGAGAGGAAAAAGGUGAAGUACUCAGAAAGUAGUCCUUAUGCAGUAAAUGGGACCAAUUGCUGUUAGAAACUGAUCCUAUUAUAGCAAUCAGACACUAACCCCGUUUUCCCAAACCCAUAAUUAACAUCAUUUUAGUUAAUAUUUCAGAUUAAUUUAGAAAUUUCACGCAAAUGGAAUAUCAUAACAAGUGGACAAUUUCCAUUAACAAUCAGUUCAACCAUUCAUGGCCAACAAUGGUCCUGUUUUCUCUAGACAAAGGCCUGAUUGAUAACAACAAUUAGAUACUUGAUUCAAAUGAAACUUUUACCAUCGAAAUAACAAAAGAUAUCAGCUAGCAAAGGUCUUUAAAGAAAAACAGAGCAUCGCGAAACUCUGAAAUAAAAAAAAAAAAGAAAAAGAAAAAAGAGAAGCAGUCAAUCAAGAAACCCUUAAUAAAAAUUACCACGUUAAGAUUGAAAAAAUAAACAAGUUCAGAAAAGAUUUAUUAUCAGAGACUCACGUAGAGGCGGAAGGGCCAAGAAAAGGGUUCUCAGAGAGGGGCUGAAAGGAGAAUCUUCCAAGAAACUGGAAAGCGCAUCGAUGGUGAGACACGUGCCUACAGUUAUUGACAGAAAUGGUGGCCACAAAGACAAUGAAGUGGAGAAUCACAAUAAGAGAAAUCACCCAAGUGUUCUCUCUCCCUUGCCUGAUGUGUCUGAAGAGUGGAAAGGGCACUCUUUCACUCUGUUCUUUAGGCAACUCUUCCGCUGUUAAAUCUACCCAAAAUCCGGGCUGCUGCUGCUCCAUAUUCUUGUGCUCCUCCAGCUGCGGCGGUGGCGGUGGAGGUGGUGGCGGCGGGGGCGGCGGAGGAAGGGGGGCUAAUGCCGCUGAUGACAAUGGCGGUUUGAUAUCUAUGGAGAUUUGAUCUUUGGUUACUGAAGCCAUAGUUGUUUUUGAGAGCUUUUAGUUGGGUAGUACAGGUGGGUUAUGGAUGAAAAUCAUUGGGAUUUCUGUAAAUGGGAAAAUCAAUGGCGGUGGGAAUUGCCUGAGAGGAAACGGUUUCAACUUCUCGGGUUAUGCGUAUUUCACAUCGUCGCUGUUUGGGGUUUAGGCGGGUAGCUUGAAAGUGAAGUUCAAAAGCCGUCGGAUAUGGGGCACGAACGAUGUAGCCUGCUAUCAAUUGCUUCGGUGUGUAUGCAUUGUGGACUGUGGUAUAGUUUUGGUCAUGUGGAUUAAACAGUUUUGGGUAACUUUUCACAAAUUUCAUAUGCUUCAUAGAAUGGCAAUUCAAUCAUUUAAGUUUUUUGAUUGUUGAAUUGGUUGAGCAGAUUGUGCAAUAGUUUAAUGCAAUUAUUGAGUGCUUUAUUAAUUUUCAAAAACUUAGUGCAUUUGUGUGACCUAGUACAUUUGCGUGAAGGAGUUGGUUGUAUUGCAAACUUUUGAUAAAUAGAUGUUAAGACACAAUUAAUAUCACAAAGGAAUUUGUUUUCCUAACCGUUGCCGCAAUAAUCCACAUCUGUUUGAACCUUUUUCAUCUACUUAAAGUUUUGUUCCAGUAUAGUUAUGCAGCUUUUUAGAUUUCGAUUUCCUCUUAUUUCACUUCUCUUCAAUCCCUUACUUUCUUCAAUUCAACCCUCGAUAUCAUUUUUUAGACAAGAUAUAAUCCUAGUUCUUGCAUAUAAAAGGAGUGAAGAUUAAAAAAAAAAAAAGGCAACAAAUAGAGAUAUAGAAGAUAGAAGUUUGAAGAAAAAUUAUAAAUUUGAUACUAUGUGAGUUUAAGAAGAGUUAACUAACAAAAUAAGAAUGGAAAUAAUUUUUUUUUUAAGAAAAAGGAAAGAAGAAAGUGCUUACGUAUAACGACAAGAGUCUAAAAGGAAAAGUAAUGGUAUUCUGUGCAUGUUAUGAAUUAGAGGUAAACUAGGCAAUUUUCACCAUGCAGUGCAUGGUAGGUGUUGUCCACACCACUCAUAAGGUUUUUAUAGAUAAGGAUGCUAAAUUUGUUAACUAUAAACUGUUAAUAGAGUCUGAUGAAUGAACGAAAAGGAAUUAUUUUAUGGAUUUUGUUGUUGUAGGAUUUGUGACGAUCCCACCUCUCCCUGGGACGUACCCUAUGGUUUAGCGGACCGUCUGUCCAACUCUCGCCAGGACUCACUCACUCUCAUCUUCAAGAAAACAAAUUAUAAUUUCAAACGUAAAUGAAACAACAGUUCCUAAACUUGGAAUGUACAUUUAUACUCAUGUCUGUCUCAAACAUUCAUACAUUCCCAAAUAUGACAAAAGGUUCAAGUACUAGUUGAGCUUCAGACCCUAAUCGAGCACUAAUGCGAGUACAAUCACAAAAGUCAAAAACUAGACGACACCAAUUUGUCCCAAUCUCACACCUAUGCUCGCACCUCCUGUAAGGAAAACAAAACUAAUGGGGUGAGUCAAAACUCAGUAAACUUCCAAAACAUCUUGCAAAACCAAGUAGCAAGUUGGCUAUUAUAUAAAACUUGAAAUAUCAAAGUAGCGUGCAUAAAAAUUCAUAAAAGUUAGCAAUAACACUCCAAGUAGCAAAUUGAGUAGAUAUUCAACAUUUCCAAGUAUAAGGAUACAGUCGCUCUUGCAAACUAACUCGGCCAUAGGCCAUAGCUUGUCAGGAAAUAGUUAACACUCUGUCAACUUUCAAAGUAGUGCAAUCAGUCCAGUAGAGCACCACUUAAUUCCAAUCACCAUCCACCAAUCAAACCCCCUAUCGAGGCCGGACUCCAAUAUUAACUGUGGUGGUAAUACUCGAGUAUACUGAAUCCAGUGGAUUUCAUAAUAAACAAUAAAUAGUACCUAUGGUUCGCUAGUCACCUCGACCAAACCCUUACUGGUUCGAUUCGACUAACUAACCAAUAGGGUUGGGAUCCCAGACAAUAAUCAAGUCACGCACAUUUAUAUCAAACCAAUUGCAACCAAUGGACAAUAAUAAGUCACAUUAGGGCAAGUGUGAUAAAGAACACCCUUACCCAAUUAAACAAGUCAAGUAUUAUCCAAUCACACUUACAAAGCAUUGCAUUCCAGUAUCAAGUUCGGUCAUGCAAUUUGAAUCACUCACCAAUGGUUUACUGCUUUUCAAAGCCAAGCUUACGUUCAGCCCCUGGCUAGAGUCAAAAUGUACGAUAAAAUAUCGUGUAACCACUUGUAAUCAAUUAGAGUUUCAAAAUAUAUGACCUUGGUUUAAAGAAAAUCAAGUAAAUAGAACACAUUUAAGUAGUAAUCAUAAUACUUAAUAAACCCUAAAAAUAUGUGCUUGCUCUUUUGGUUUCGAUAAAGAAGCGAUUAAAACUUUUAAGUUCGUAAUUUGGUGUAAGCAACUAGAAAAUCUUUUUAAAGUGGCCGUUACUUUGUCUUUGAAAAAUGUACACUUUUGGCAAAAUUUCAGCUUAUAAGUCACCCACAAGGUCAACUUAAGCAUCUCUAAGUAAACUAAGUCCAAAUCGAUCACAAGUCACACCCCUACUUCCACUUUCACUUACUUACUCCACAAGAAGAAAAAUGGGCAGCACUUCCCCAAUUUUCCUUAACUUUUCCUCCUAUUUUCCAAGCCAAGUUUCACGUCAAAUCAGCUCAAAUCAAUGCCACAAGUUAUAAGGUAAAAUCGGUUUUUAUACUAGGCCACAAAACCAUCUAAUUUAGGCUUAUUUCUAGCAUAUAAACACCAUAUAUCAAAGUUGGAAAAUUCUCUAAUAAAGCUGAAAUUUUAGAACUAAAGUUGGAAAUUCCUAUUUGAAAGCUAAAAAGUCAAAAUAACGCUACAAAUCUUUAUACAAGUCCAUAACAAAGCUAGAUACCAUCAUAUCAUGGAUGAAAAAUAUAAAACAAGGCUGAAAAAGUAAAACCCUAGGCUGAAAUUUCACCAAUCUUCACCAAUCUAGGUUAUCAUCCAUAUAUUUUCCAAUUUCAAGUCAUCUUCCCCAUAAAUUGCAAGAUAAGAAAGAGAAAGGAAGUUUUCCAACUUAGUACCUUCAAAUCCCUUGAAGAAAGUGAAGAACCAAGGCUUUUCUCUCCAAAAACUCUCCACCACAAUCUUCCUUGCUACUUUAGUGCAACUUUAUUUUGUUUAGAUUUGUGGUUCUUAUUGUGUUAAUCUCAGUCCAUAGCUUUUGAUGAUUACAAAACAAAUGGAUGUUACUAAUAUUCUUUCAACAGACCUUUUCAGAAAUGGAGCAAAACAGGUUCAAAAAUUAAGCACAAAAGAUACUGAAACUGUUGUCGGACGCACAAGAAGACUGGAUCGGACGUCCGACAACUAUUGCGCAACUUCAGACGCAUGAAAAACUCCACCCUCGGACGUCCGAAAAUAUUAAGUCAUUCCUGCUAAGCUCAUUGAUCUCGAUCGGAUGCACAUCAUCAGAGCACCAGACGUCGGACAAACAUUGUGACACUUCGGACGCAAAGCUUUGGAGGCAUCGGACGUCAUAAAGAAUUGAAGAAGAAUUCUCUGUUUCAUUUCCUACUUUUGGACGCAUACACUGAAGGCACCGGACGUCCGAAAUAAUUCAAGAAGAUUUCUUGAGCUCACUGCCCACGUUCGGAUGCAAGAAAUUGGUCUACCGGACAUCCGACACUAACAACGGCUAGUUGACUCUUCAACUGCCUUCUAUCCAUUGGGAGUAUUAAUUGAAGAAUUUUUUGGUCACAUAUAAAUAGAACAAAGUCAACUACUUUAAAGCACUUUUGCACAUUGAGAUUACAUCAGAUCAAGAGUGAUUUUAAUAGGAAAAUACUCUUCAAAGAAGAUUUGUAAUCUUAGUUGUGUAAAUUUUGAUAAGUUUUUCUAGUGUGAUUCAAUUAUUUCAAUAGUGUAAUUUUGUGAGAGUUAUCCGAGUGAUAGUAAAACUUCCUUGCUUGAUCAAGUGUGGCUUGAAGUAAGGAGGAAGUGAUCCUUCCUUUAUACACAAAGAUUGGUUGUAAGUUGAUCAACUUGAAGAAACUUACUCACUAAAGUGAUAUUCAAACUCAAGAGGAGUUUGGUAUUUGGUUUGAUAUUCUAUCUCUUUUACUUACUAUCUUGCUAUAUAAAUUGUUCAUCUUUUCUACUCACAAGCACUUGUGCUUUCUCUUUAAUUGCUUCAUUGUGUGGUUUUUUAGAAAAAGAGGGCAAAUACUCAAAAAGUGACUCACAACUUGGCCAAUUUUUAAAACUACCUAAUUCACCCCCUUCUUAGGUUGUUUUCGAUCCUUACAAUUGGUAUCAGAGCUUGGUCUCCUAUAGAUUAAGUUUAAUCGGCUUUGGAGUAAAAAUGACAACCAACAAUGCCAUAUUUUUUGAAAGACAAUCCGUCACUAGACCCCCAAUGUUCAAUGGAUCAAAUUAUGUGAGUUGGAAGGAAAUGAUGAUUAUUUUCUUACAAUCUAUUGAUAUCGAACUGUGGUUUAUUGUCAAUGAAGAUCCAUAUGAUGCCUCUAUAGUUGAUGAAGUCACUCAUAGACUAAGACCAAAAACUAGAAAUGAGUUGACUGAUUAUGAUAGAACCCACCUCACUUUGAAUGCCAAGGCUAUGAAUGUGUUAUACAGUGCUCUAGAUUCAAAUGACUCUAUUAGAGUCAAAAGCUGUAGAUCUGCAAAAGAGAUUUGGGAUAAAUUUAAAGAAAUCCAUGAAGGGAGUGAGAAUGUAAAAGAACAAAAGAAAUUAAUACUAGUUACUAAGUAUGAAUCAUUUAAGAUGGAAUCUCAUGAAAACAUUGAUAAGAUGUAUUGUAGAUUCAAUGAUCUCAUUAAGAACUUAGAAGUGCUGGAAAAGGAAUACUCUCUAGGUGAGAAAAAUAGAAAAAUUUUGAAUACUUUAUCCAAGGAUUGGGAGAGUAAAGUGACUGCCAUUGAAGAAGCUAGAGAUCUAAAUUCCACGCCUAUUGAAUCUCUUAUUAAUUCUCUAACCUCUUAUGAGAUGAAAUUCAAGUCCAAGGUGCAAAAGGAAGAAGAUGCAAAGGUGAGAAAGAGUAUUGCUCUAAAAGCCUCGCAAGAUGAAGAUAUGGAAGUUGAUGACAGUGAUAUUGCACUCAUCACAAGAAGCCUCAAAAGAAUUCUCAACAAAAGAAGAUUCAGAAAAGGAGGACCUAGCAAUCCAUUCCCAAAUCAGUUCAACAACUCAAGAAACAAAGGGAAGUAAGAGUUCAAUAAAAAGCAAACUAAUAAAUCCUUUGAAUGCGGCCAAUUUGGACACUACGUGAGUGAGUGUCCAAUGAAGAAAAAGAAGGAAGAUAAGGUUGAAUGAAAACCAAAAUUCAACAACUUUCAAAUUACAUGGAAUGAUUGCAAUUCAGAAGGUGAAGUCGAAGAAGAAGAGAAAUCUGCCCAAAUGGCUUUCAUGGCCAUUGGUGAUGAUGAGGUAACUACUUGUAACUCUCAACUUGAUAGUGAUGAUGAAUCUGAUGAUGAUAUUAAUUCAUUUAUAGAAAGACUGCAUAAUAACUUGAAAGAAUCCUAUGCUAGAAACAAGGAACUAAAACAAAAGAUCAAUUUUCUAAUUCAAGACAAUACAAACCUUUUUCGACAAAACAAAAGUCUGAAAAAUGAAAAUGAAAACCUGAAAAUGAUUGAAAAUGAUUGAAAAUGAUUUACAUGCUGAACUUGAUAGAAAAACAAACUUCUGUGACAUGCUAAAAAAUGAACAAGGGAGUUUGAAAAGAAGAAUGGAUGAUCUUAAUCAAUUGCUUCAACAUAAGAAACAAAACUGUUUUUAAAAGAAUGAUACAAAACAUCAUUUUGGCAUUCAUGAGAAAAGGUUGAAUUCUAUUGCAAACGAAUUUACCAUUUAUAAGAGAAGGCAAAUCAGAUUUGUUAAACCUGUCCAUGCGAAUAAUUCACUAACUAUGUGUAGCUUUUGUUGUCAAAUUGGUCAAAUGAAAAGUAAUUGUUAUGUAAGGAAGAAUAUGAGAAAUGGCAUGAAAUGCAUGUGGAUAGUUAGACAUAAUGCUAACUCUUAAGGACCCAGAAAGUAAAGGGUACCAAAUAUUAUCUUGUGAACUCUUGUGUAGGUUAACUUGAUGAAUAUUAUUAAGGAAUCAAAAUGGUUCAUAGAUAGUGGAUGUUCAAGACAUAUGACUGGUGAUCCGUCACAAUUCAUCAAUCUCAAACCAAAAUCAAGUAGAAAAGUAACAUUUGGAGAUGUCAACAAAGCUAAAACAAUUGGAGUAGGAGAUGUUGGUAAGGAUGGUCAAACUUUUGUUCACAAUGUUCUCUUAGUUGACAAUCUGAGUUAUAUCUUGUUAAGUGUUAGUCAAUUAUGUGAUAGAAAUCUGUUUGUGUUAUUCAAAAAGUAUGAAUGUCUUGUUCUUGACUCAAAGUUUAAUCCUAUUUUCAAAGGAAAAAGAGUUAAUGAUAUGUACAUAGUCGUUCUUGAAAAUGUUGAUUCUUCUAGUUUUAAAUGUCUUAAAGUUGCAAAUAAAGACCCUUGGUUGUGGCGUAGAAGAUUUUGUCAUUACAACAUGGAUUUGCUAAAAGAAAUUUUCAAAAAAGAGCUUGUUAGAGGCUUGCAAAAAAUUAAGUUUGAAAAGGACAAAAUCUGUGAUGCUUGCCAAUUUGAAAAGCAAGUCAAAGUUUCUUUUAAACCUAAGAAAUGUGUUUCUAUCACAAAACCUUUGGAACUUUUACAUCUUAAUUUAUUUGGUCCUACACAAACUACUAGCUUAGGUGACAAAAGAUAUUGCUUUGUUGUUGUUGAUGAUUAUUCUAGAUACACUUGGGUGAUGUUUCUUGCACACAGAGAUGAUGUUUUCAAAAACUUUGUUUCAUUAUUUGCAAAAGUUCAAAAUCUGAUUGGGUUGAAAAUCAUCAAGAUCAGAAGUGAUAAUGGCUCAGAAUUUCAUUUUUUGUGGCUUUUCAGAAUUUUGUGAUAACAACGGAAUUACACAUGAAUUUUCUAUUGCAAGCGUUCCUCAACAAAAUGGUAUUGUUGAAAGAAAGAACAGAACACUUCCAUCAUAAUCAAAUAAUAUUGUUAAAGGCUACUUCUUUCUAUUGAAAUGUUCAUAGAAAUUUAGUAUAAAAUUGGACUUACUGAUAAAUUAGAGUGGCCUUUGAUAACGGAAGCUUGUUGAAUGAAGUAAUCCUUGAUCUUCUUAUUAAAAUAUUUUGAGAAUGAUACAAAAGAGGUUGAAUACAAGAGUAGUUGAAUAAAAGAGGUUUGAGGAGAUUUUUCUAAGGAUUUUUACACAAGGAAGAUUUGUUCACUGAUAGUUCCGCGAUGCUUUCUCUUCUGAUUUUGAAUCUAUUUAUAGGAGCAUCGCCAUCUGCAUUUCAUCUUCAUUUCAAUUUCAUUUGCCUUUUUCUCUGAAAUGUGGCCGACAUCUUUCUUUAAAAGUCAUUUGGGUCUUGUCCGCAUGGUCCUCCGAAAGGAUCAAAAGUAGAUUCGGAUGAUCCAGCUGACUCUUCAAUUUUGUCGGUUUCUUCUUUCUUAUCUUGCUUUUGUAAAUAGUCCAAAUAUUCUUUCAGCAUCUCGGGAUUUUGCAUCAUCUUUUUCAUCAAAAAGUCGUUUGAGAUUGCCUCGGAUGCCAUACUGACACCUUUUUCUUUAUCUUUCUUUUUGGGAGUGGUUGGCAUAGUGGUUGGAGUGGUUGUCAUAGUGGUUGAAGUGGUUGACUGAUUUGUCCACUUCAGUUUGUCUCCAAUAGUUAGGAAUCUUAUCACAUUUGCUUGGUCUCCAAAUUCUUGAUUGAAUCAUGUCCACCAUUUGAUAUUGAAUUCUCUAACUAAUGACAUUGGAAGUGAUUUUUCUAAUUCUUGGUGAAUUUUGAAGCUCCGGCAAAAAAUCCAUGGUACUUUGAAUUCCAUAUGGAAUAAUAUUGAUCUUGUGUACUCUUCCCCCCUUGCUUUUUUGAGGUAGGUUUGAAAUCCCAUAAGAACAUUGGGGGGUAGAAUUUCUUUUUGAGGACCGAACCAUUGCCACCAAUGGUUAAACCAUAAUGGAAAUUCUCUGUUGCAGCUUUCUUUGAAUGUGAAGAACCACGAAUGGUUGAAUGGUCGAUUUAAAAAAGCACGAUAACAGGCCAUUUUGUAAUCUUGAUAUGUGAAGCCAUCCGGAAUGAAUCUGACUGAAAAUGAUUUUUUAGAAUAAAGAGAAGUCCAUUCAUUAGGUGAACAAACUUUCUUUAUUAUACACUUGGAAUGACUAAUUAUAUUUGGAUUCUUUUUAUGUGAAAUAGGGAAUAUUUCUACAGAUUGAGUAUCUGUAAGAAUUAACUCAUAAUAAUCCAAAUUUUUUGAAGGAUCAUCAGGUUGCCAAUAACACUUUUGAGGAAAGAUUCUUUGAGUAAUCUGAUUGAGUGUAGAAUAUAAUGGUAGUUCUUGGAAUCUGGUUAAGGUAAUAUGCUGAUGAAAUGGUUUUGUAAAAUAAGUAUUUUCAGUGGGUUUUCUUGAAUUUUUGGCAGUUGUUGAAUUGGUCUAAUUUGAGAGGAAAUUGGAGUGCAAGCAGCUUGACUAUAAGUCAAUGCUGGAAAGUCUUGUAAUAAUUGGAAUCUAUUUUGGGUUACAGGAGUAAAACUCAUCUCAUAAUCUUGAGGAGUCUUGGGUCUAGAACUUCCUGCUUUUGAAUCCAUUUUCCUGCAAAAUCAAUAAACAACAUCUUUAAGUUGGUUAGAUAAUUGUUUAUUUUGAUCUUUGUAAUGUUGAAGAAAAUCUUCAUUCCUUCCUGCUCUUCGUAGAACUUGAAUUCUAAUAGUGUUUCUCUGAAUCUCUCUUUGUAUGAGAAAAGCUCUCUCCUUUGGUGUAAGAGUUGUGAAAUGGCUUUGCUGAAUAUAUACUGCAUCAUGUUUGGAAAUUUGAUAGGCUGGAAUACUUUGUCUUCCAUUUCUGGUCUGGAUAAAAUAUUGAUAUCCUCUGGAUUGAAGAACUGCUUCUUUGUUUAAGAGUUUAGGAGAAUCUCUUUGAGUUCUUAAAUAAUUUGUAUAUUCUCGAUCAGUACUUUGGACCAUCAUAUCACGAUCCAUGUCCUUGUAAAAAUUCUCUAGUAAGAAAAUCUGGUAAUGAAUUAUUUUCUCCUUUUAUAAAUUCAAUUUCAAAAUUGAAAACAGAUAAAAUAGCUUGCCAUCUAGCAAAUAUUUGUUUUGAAACUAUAUUCUGAACAUCUUUUUGUAAAAUCUCUUUUGCAGAUUUACAGUCUAUUCUAAUUAAAAAAUUUUAUUGUAUAAAUCAUCUUGAAACUUUGAUAUACAUAAAACUAUUGAUAAAAUUUCUUUUUUAAUUGUUGAAUAAUUUUUCUGAGGGUCAGACCAUGUUCCUAAAUGAAAUCUAACUAAUUCUUCCUUUGAUUCUUCUCUUUUUUGUUUUAAUAUACCGUCAUAUCCUAAUUCUGAUGCAUCUGUCUCAACUAUCAUGAAUGCUUUAGGAUGCGGUAGACAUAAACAUGGUAAUGAUCCAAUUUUUUCCUUUAAAUAUUUUAUCUUUUGAGUAUGUUCUUCUGUCCAAGGUUUUGGGUCUUUCUUUAGUCUAUUAAAUAGUAUAGAACAUUCUUGCCUUAAUUUAGGAAAGAAAUCUGCUAUAUAAUUUAAACAUCCUAAAAACCUUUGUAAUUGAUUUUUAUCUUUUAUUUCAUCUGGAAAUUUAGUAGCAAAUUCUAAAGCUCUAUUUAUUGGUUUUAUGGUUCCUUGAUAUAUAUCAUGUCCUAAAAAUCUUACUUUUGUUUGAAAUAAUUUUAUUUUUGGGGCUGACACUACUAAUCCAUUCUUUUUGACUGUUUUUAAAAAUAUAUUUAAAUGUUUAAAAUGUUGUUCUAUUGAUUCUGAAAAUAUUAAUACAUCGUCUAUAUAUACAAUACUGAAUGAACUAUAGGAAUUAAAAAUAUCAUUCAUUAUAUUUUGAAAUUCUGAUGGUGCAUUUUUUAAUCCAAAUGGCAUUACGUUCCAUUCAUAAUGUCCAAAAGGUGUUGUGAAUGCUGUUUUGUAUCUAUCUUUUGGUGUUAUUAAUAUUUGCCAAUAUCCUGAUUUUAAAUCAAAUUUAGAAAAUAUUUUUGCAUUAAAUAAUCUGUUAAGCAAAUCCUUUUAUUAGGAAUGGGAUAUCUAAUCUAUUGUAAAACUUUAUUUAAUGGUUUAUAAUUUAUAACUAAUCUUGGAACUCCUCUUUCUUUUUCAGCUUGAUUCAUUACAUAAAGUGCAGCACAAUUCCAAGGUGAUUUUGAAGGUGUUAUUAAUCCUUUGUCUAUUAAUGUUUUUAUUUCUUUUUUACAAAAUUCUAAUAAAUCAGAAUUCAUUUAUAUUGGUCUAGCUUUUGUUGGAAUAUUCUUUUCAUUAAAUUCUUUUUCAUAUGGUAAUUCUAUCAUAUGUUGUUUUCUAUCCCAAAAAGCAUUAGGAAUAUCUGCACAAAUUUCUUUUUGUAAUAAUUCUUCUAGUUCUAAAAUUCUUUUUUGUAUUUUACUUUCUUUUAAUUGUUCUUCAAUUUUUAAAUAAGAUUUUUCUUCUUUAAUAUAAUUUAUUUGUUGUUGUACUUCAGUAAUGGUAUUUAUUGUUUUAUAAAUAGAAGAUGUUUGUAAUGUCUGUAAUUCUCUUUGUCUUAUUGGAGUUAAGAAUUUAAAAGUAACAGUUUUUUCCAUUAUAUUUAUUGAAAUUCCUUCAUGGUUUACUGCAAAUGGGUAAAUUUGAAUUAAAAAAGGUGUUCCUAAUAUUAUAUCAUGAUUUAUAUUUUUUACAAUUAUAAAAUUAUGUUUGAUACAAUAUUCAUUAUUGCAUAUUGCUCCUUUUGUAAAUUUAUAUUUUACUUGUAAAUUUUCUCCAUUUGCUGCCAUUAAUGUUUUAUUUGUUCUUUCACAAUAUUUGGUAGGAAUUAUUCCUUCUUUAAUACAACUUGAAUCAGCUCCACUAUCUAUUAGAGCUACAUGUGUUUCUUUGAAAUCUUCUACAGUAAUAGUUAUUAAAGCAUACCAUUUUUGAAAUGUCAUUUUCUCUAUUGUAUUUAAAAAUCUCCUUAAACAUCUUUUAUUCAACCUCUUUUGUAUCAUUCUCCAAAUAUUUUAAUAAGAAGAUCAAGGAUUACUUCAUUCAACAAGCUUCCGUUAUCAAAGGCCACUCUAAUUUAUUAGUAAGUCCAAUUUUAUACUAAAUUUCUAUGAACAUUUCAAUAGAAAGAAGUAGCCUGGGUAGAAGUGGUACCAGAGCCACACGUAUCAUGCAUAUUUAAGACUUUGAGUUAUUAUUACCUUAUUUGAAUUACUCUCUAUUUUAAUUUGGCUAAUUCAUGCAUUUAUGUUUACAUAUUUUAUUAAACUUUUACCGAACUCAUUGGUAAGACUUUGAAGCCUUGUGCGACCGUUGGUAAGUCCAGGAUAGGAUGUUCCAGGCAUAGUGCUCAGUUGUUCCUGAUUAGGUAAAACUUUAAAUAAAUAUUAAACAUGGCUGUCUUUCUUAGACAAUUAAAAAUAGGAUCUAAUUCAAAGCAAGAUAAUAUAGUACAAAGUCAUGAAUAUCAUAUGCCUAUAAAUAAUUCAGAUUGGACAAUCCCAGAAGAAAAAAUAGAACAUAUUUAUAGAAUAGACCCGUUAGAUUUCAAAACAGCUUUAUCAGUUAAAACACAUGAAGAAACAAUAUCUAUUCAAGAAGAAUAUCAAUCAAUUCCAUUACUAAAUCAUAGUACAAUUCAGAAAUAUUGAAGUAAAGGAUAUCGAUACAUUCAUAUAGGUUUAAUACAAAUUGCAGUAAAACCUCUAUUCCAUUUAGGAGUAGACGCCCCAAUAUAUUUAGCAUUAAGAGAUACUAGACUCAAAAGAUAUAAAACUUCUUUACUUCCUAUGAUUCAAACAAAUGUAUGUAAUGGACCCAUAUAUUUUAACUGUGCUCCAAACUUUUCAAUAGAUUUAACAGACCCACACAUUCUGAACUCAGUAAUAUUAGAUAUUCACCUACAAGGAAAUGAAUUUGAAAAACAUACAAAGAAUUUUGCAGUAAUAUAUAGAAUAUAUUAUAGACCAUUAUCUUCUCAUCUAAAUCCUAAAUUUAUAAUGACUCCAACUCUUAAAGAAGAAACAAUUUUAUUACAAGUAGAUGCAGAUAGACCUACAACUUAUACUCCGAAAAGAUUAAAAUGGAAUGAAAUAACUAUACCUAGUGAAUUUGAAAUUAAAAAUCCACAAAUAGCAAGAAAUAUAGAACAAACAAUUGCAGAAGACAUUAUAGAAAAACCUGAUGGCAAUACCCUAAUAAGAUUUUCAUCAUUAAGAGAAAAACAUGAUUCAACUUAUUCUUGGUUACCAGCAAGACAUUCUAAUUAUGAAUCAACUGAAAUAAAUUUUCCUUUAGAAAGUACUUCAACUUUUAAAUAUAAAACUCCUGUUCCAGAAGUUAUAAAUCAAAAUCAAUCAGAAUACUCUCCAACUCACUCACAAAUGAAAACUCAGAAUAAAUGUUAUCAGAAUUAAAAUUUGUGACGGCCCCACCUCCCCCUAGGGCGAACCAGAGGGUUCGGCGGGCCGCCUGCCCGGCUCUCGCCGGGACUCAGUCGUUCACUAAAGUCCUCAAAUGAAUUACAAGAAUAAACCUCAAAUAUACAUCACAUGGUCCACAAAUAUACAUCCAAGUCUCCAAUAAUUACAUAUCACAAAUGCAGCGGAAACAAUUCCCAACUAUACAUAAAAUGAUUCCAAAUCCAAAUUGUACAACAUAAAGGCCAUCCAUUCACGUGAAUAAGCACAACAAGUCCUGCCUUCGCCUUGAGCCCUGUGGAGGGGAAUAAAAUAUUUUUGGGGUGAGUUAGAAGCUCAGCGAGUAACCAGAAAAUCAGUAAUCAAAUCGAUUUAACAAUAUUUCUUUUCAAUGAUGUCAUAAAUCAAAUGAUAAGUCCAGAAACGAUUACAGCAUUUACAAAACAUUAAAUAUGGAGUAUCAAUAAUUCAAGAAACAUGUAUAAUGGAAAGCGAUAGUAACAUUCAUGAAAAGGAUACGUUCAUUUUUUUAUAAAUAAUCCCUCGUUCAUCUUUUUAUUCGUUCAUCUUUUUUUUUUCCGGACGUUGGCCGGUCUCCACCCAUCCGGACGUAGCCGGACUCCACCCAUCCGGACGUAGCCGGACUACAAGGUAAUACUCGAGUAUACCAAAUUCACUCAGGGUCACCAUAUCGCCCGACCGAGUCCGCUUCUGGCUCGAGUCGAUCGGUAACGAAGGGUAGGGCCCAAUUCAGCCAAACGGCUUACAUUCAUGCGCAACUAGCAUUCAAUCAUUAAUCAUUGAAAAUUUCAUAUUUAUUUAGGUCGAGUGCGAUAAAGUACACACUCGCCUAGAAAACUUGUUUUAACAAUCAUUGAAAGCACUUAACACAUUAUCAAUCAAUAAUAACAAGCCAAUAAGUCAAGGAAAUAUAGCAAACAAGGAACACUCACAUGUAAGCACGCAUGAUAUGCAAGAAACAGUUCAAAAGUAACUUUGGAAACAGUUUAAAAGUAAAUAAUGCAGAAAAAGGUUCAUAAAUAACUUUAGAAAUAGUUUGAGGUCACUCACCUCAAUGGCUCAAAAAUCAUCCAUCAUGUAUCAUUGCCUUGCUCAAACCCAAGUUUUAGAUCACAAACUCAAUGCAAACAAAUCCUUUAAAAGUUCAGACAGCACUUCCCCUAAAUUUGCUUACUUUUCCAGCCGUCAUGGCUUCAUGAUUUCCUCAUUCCAACCCAAAGGUACACACACAACAACAAGUUCAUCCCAUAACCAUUCAGCAAACUCCAAGUAGUACAAAGACAAGUCAAGCUAGGGAAAAGUCCGGAAAUGAAAGUUAAGCUCAAAACCAGAAAAAUAGUUUUGACGUCAUUUUGCGGUAAUGGUAUCAAAGGAGCUACGAUUGUCGGAUGAAGGUGAAAGACCCACCGUUUCGAAGCUAAGAGAUAGGGCUACAAUAUUGUAGAAGGUCACACAACCCAGUUUCAAGUGUAACCAGGUCAAAAAUGCAAGAAACUAUACCAGAAUCACAAAAAUAGAUUCACAGAAUGUAUUCUAGCGGAAACAUCAUAACUCAGGCUCUCCAAGUCCAAAUCCAGAAAUUCCAAAACCAGCUGAAAGAUAAGAAACAGGGCUAAAUUUCAUCAGAACGCCUCAACAUCCAAUUCGGAAGAAAUUCCAGCCAAAACAACCAAUUACAGUCGCAAAUCCCAAUUUCGGGUAAACCAGAAUAGCAAUAGUAAUUUCGACUUUUCUCACUCUACGCUACUCUGAUUGACCUAAAAUUUUGUAGACACCUUUAAAAUGUCAUUCCCUACAACUUUUAUGCUUUGAGCUAAGGCCAAUUCGGCCUCUAUCUAGGACCAAAAAUUUCGGACAGAAUGAAGAACCAAGAACCCUAAUUUUCCAGAUUUCUUCCAAAACAGAAUUUACUUGCAAUCUUCCACUUUUUCCACCUUCUAAAAUCAUUAAACAUCAUUUCCAAUCAUCAUACAUAACCACAUAAUCAUACUCAUAUGAAAACAGAAAAAUCCCCAAUAAUUAUAAAACUUCACCAAUUCAACCAAAAUCAAGAUAUAAUCCAUAAAACCAUCUCUUUAGCCAUCACAAGUCUCUAAUUUAGCAUAAUCAAGAACAAAGAAAGGAUGGUUAGACAUGAUACCUUCAAAUAUCAAGAAAGGUGAUGACUUAGGGAUUUUUCUUCCAAAACAACUCCACCAAGAGCUUCAAUCUUCCUUAGCUAGCAAGUUUUAUGGAGUGAUUUGCAAUUUCAUCGGUUGGAACUCAAGAUUUGGACAAGAAAUUGAAGUGCAAGAUGCUGGAUUUUCUCUCUCUUUUUCUCUCAAAAUUUCGUCCAAAACAAGCUAAAAUGGAGAGAAAUUGGGUCCAAAUUGGUUUUAGUAAAGUUAGAAAAGUCUUGGUCAAAAGUCAAGGUCCAAUGGUUUUGUGACAAAUGGUCCUUUAGGGUUUUAAUCUUAUCUUUUUGUCUCUCCAAUACAAAUAUCUUAACACAUUGUAAAAUAAUAUCACUUAAUACAAAAUUCCAACAAGUUGUCAAAAAUAUAAUGCAUUUACCGCACUUGCGGGUCCCACGUCCAAAAUACGCUUUUAAUUUCUCAAAAACUAACCGAUACUAGAAAAAUCAUUUGAAAACUAUAUUUGCUCAUAAACUUUAUCUGGGGAAUUUUUCUAAUCAAGAAAAUGUAGAAAAGGCGGGCGUUAAAAAAAUAAACCCUAGAAAAUUAGAAAAUUUCCAGGUUCUCAAACUCAUUUUUUUCGGGGCGUCACAAAAUUCCCUAAUGAUAUUUCUUGUGCUAAACAUUAAUUUUAUUUCCCAUUCCAUUCCCUCAAUGAUUGAAGAAGAAAGAGAAUGAGGGAUGUUAUCAAAAGUUUAUGGAAAUGUUAAAGAAGCUACAAGUCAAUAUCCUAUUUGCAAAGCCAUUGCAAAUAUGCUUACCUAUGCAAAAUUCCUUAAGGAGAUCAUAUCCAAUAAGCAAAAAUUCGAGGAAUUUGCAACCAUCCCCUUGACUGAUAAGUGUAGUGUAGUGCUUUAAAAUCAUCUUCUAAUUAAGAUGAAAGAUCUAGAGAGUUUUACUGUGCCUUGUCAUUUUGAGAAUAUUUUCAUUGAUGAACAUUUAUGUAACCUCGGAUCUAGUGUGAAUUUAAUGCCUUAAUCAAUUUUUAGAAAAUUAAUGUUUAUCGAGCUUAAUCCUAGCAUGAUGAUUCUACAACUUGUUGAUCGUUCGAUGCGAUAUCCACUAGGGUUAAUAGAAGAUAUGCUCAUUAAAGUUGGCAAAUUUUAUUUUCUUACGGAUUUUCUUGUCUUGGAUAUGGAAGAGGAUACUAGCAUGCCUAUAAUUUUAAGUAGGCCAUUCUUGGUUACUGGAGGGGCUAUAAUUAAUGUGCCAAAAAGAAAAUUGACUUUGAGUGUGGGCAAUAAAAAGAAAAAUUCAAUGUUUUUCAUGCUUUACAAUGUCCAUUUUUUUGAUAAAUCUUAUAUUCAAGUUGAUGAAAAAGAAUUUAAUGAAAAGAAUAUUCCAACAAAAGCUAGACCAAUACAAAUGAAUUCUGAUUUAUUAGAAUUUUGUAAAAAAGAAAUAAAAACAUUAAUAGACAAAGGAUUAAUAACACCUUCAAAAUCACCUUGGAGUUGUGCUGCAUUUUAUGUAAUGAAUCAAGCUGAAAAAGAAAGAGGAGUUCCAAGAUUAGUUAUAAAUUAUAAACCAUUAAAUAAAGUUUUACAAUAGAUUAGAUAUCCCAUUCCUAAUAAAAAGGAUUUGCUUAACAGAUUAUUUAAUGCAAAAAUAUUUUCUAAAUUUGAUUUAAAAUCAGGAUAUUGGCAAAUAUUAAUAACACCAAAAGAUAGAUACAAAACAGCAUUCACAACACCUUUUGGACAUUAUGAAUGGAACGUAAUGCCAUUUGGAUUAAAAAAUGCACCAUCAGAAUUUCAAAAUAUAAUGAAUGAUAUUUUUAAUUCCUAUAGUUCAUUCAGUAUUGUAUAUAUAGACGAUGUAUUAAUAUUUUCAGAAUCAAUAGAACAACAUUUUAAACAUUUAAAUAUAUUUUUAAAAACAGUCAAAAAGAAUGGAUUAGUAGUGUCAGCCCCAAAAAUGAAAUUAUUUCAAACAAAAGUAAGAUUUUUAGGACAUGAUAUAUAUCAAGGAACCAUAAAACCAAUAAAUAGAGCUUUAGAAUUUGCUACUAAAUUUCCAGAUGAAAUAAAAGAUAAAAAUCAAUUACAAAGGUUUUUAGGAUGUUUAAAUUAUAUAGCAGAUUUCUUUCCUAAAUUAAGGCAAGAAUGUUCUAUACUAUUUAAUAGACUAAAGAAAGACCCAAAACCUUGGACAGAAGAACAUACUCAAAAGAUAAAAUAUUUAAAGGAAAAAAUUGGAUCAUUACCAUGUUUAUGUCUACCGCAUCCUAGCCUUUGAAAAUCUUAUUUCACAAAGGUCUGAAUUUGAUUAUGAUGAAACGUAUUCGCCUGUAGUGGAUGCUAUUACAUUUAGAUAUCUUGUGAGUUUUGCAGUACUUGAAAAACUAGAUAUGCGUCUAAUAGACGUCGUUACUGCAUAUUUAUAUGAAAAUCUUGAAAAUGAUAUUUAUAUGAGAAUUUUCGAAGGAUUCAACAUGCCUGAAGCAUGCAAAUCAAAUCCUAAAGAUAUUUAUUCUAUUCAAUUACAAAGGUCUUUGUAUGGGGUCAAACAAUCUGGACGUAUGUGGUAUAACCGUCUUAGUGAAUGUUUAACUAAAGGAGGUUAUACUAAUGAUCCAAUAUGUCCAUGUAUUUUUAUCAAGAAAAAUGGAUCAAAUUUUGUAAUAAUUGCUGUAUAUGUUGGCGAUCUAAAUUUGAUUGGAACUCCUGAAGAGAUUCAAAAUAGUGUUGAAUAUUUGAAGAAAAAAUUUGAGAUCAAAGAUUUUGGAAAGACAAAAUUCUACUUUGGUUUACAAAUUGAGUAUUUGAAAGGUAAAAUUUUUGUUCACCAAACUGGUUAUACCUGGAAUGUAUUAAAGCGAUUUUAUAUGGAUAAACCACAUACAUUAAGUACCCCAAUGAUCGUCAGAUCACUAGAUCCUAAUAAGGAUCCUUUUAAACCACGAGAGGAAGAUGAAGACAUUUGGUCCUGAAGUACCAUAUCUCAGUGCAAUUGGUGCAUUAAUGUAUCUUGCUAAUUUUACAAGAUCUGAUAUAUCAUUUGCAGUGAAUUUAUUAGCUAGAUUUAGUUCCUCGCCCACAAGACGGCAUUGGAAUGGUAUUAAACAUAUUUUUCGCUAUCUCUAAGGAACAAUUGAUCUUGGUUUAUUUUAUUCAAAUAAAUCCAAAUCUGAAUUGGUUGGUUAUGUUGAUGUUGGGUAUUUAUCUGACUCGCAUAAAGCAAGAUCUCAGAUUAGUUAUCCAUUUACAUAUGGAGGUACAGUCAUUUCUUGGCGAUCUACAAAGCAACCAUUAGCCGUCACUUCAUCGAAUCAUGCUGAAAUAAUAGCAAUUCAUGAAACCAGUCGAGAAUGUGUUUGGUUAAGAUCAAUGACCCACUAUAUCCGAAAGAGUUGUGGGUUAUCCUCUAAAAAAGAAAAUCCUCCAACUAUAUUAUAUGAAGAUAAUGCAGCUUGUAUAGCCCAAUUGAAAGGAGGAUAUAUUAAAGGAGAUAAGACGAAACAUAUUUCACCAAAAUUCUUUUUUACUCAUGAGUUGCAAAAGAAUGGUGAAAUUGAUGUGCAACAAAUCCGAGUAGAUAAUAAUUUAACAGAUUUAUUUACUAAAACAUUGCCAACUGCAAUAUUUGAGAAAUUGGUGAAGAAUAUUGGAAUGCGACGAUUAAAAGAUAUCAAAUGAUAUUUACAUCAGGGGGAGAAAUUAAUACACAGGAAUAGUGCACUCUUUUUCCUUCACUAGGGUUUUUGCCCCGAUGGAUUUUUCCCUAGUAAGGUUUUAACGAAACAUAUUCUUUGUGUAAUGGACAUCCAAGGGAGAGUGUUAUGAAACAACUAAAAGUAUGGAUGUCCCUUUGUAUUCCCAAGAGGAUUAAUUCUUGAUUUAUUGCUACAUUAUGUAUAGAAGUUACAAUUCAUAAAUCUAUUCAUGUAGUGAAGGAACCGUUUCAUAGGGUUCUUCAUAUUCUUGUAGUAAUGGGUGUUUAAUAGGAUUGAUAUACCUUUAAUCUUGUAUUACCUAUAUAUAGAGGUACAUUGACACCUUUUGGGAGAACUUUUGUAUUUGUUGGGAUAUAAGAAUAUCAUUCUCUAUUUCUCUACUUCUUUUUCUAAUAUCUCCAUUCAUACUAUAGUAGUUUAUUAGUUUUACAACAAAAGCAAUAGUGCUUUAAAAAUCCCUGGUAGACCUUCAGCCCCAAAAAACUUGGAACAAUUGUCAUUUUUAAAUAAUUAAAUAGAAAAUAAUUAAAAAAUAUAUAUUUAUAAUACAAUAAAAUUAAAAUUUCUUCAAAAAAUUUACUAUUCAAGCACACUCGCUACCUAUUACCUAUACGCUAACUCCUACCUAUAGGUGGCAAAUCAACCCAUUUAGCUAAAUUUAUCCAUACCCGCCCAUGAAUAGAUGGGUAUGGAUAUCUUAAAUUUUUGCAUAUUGGUAUUAUUAGAUAACCCAUCAAAUCCAAUUAACUCAUUUAGAAUUGUCUUCCCCCAAGUUUCCUCUCUUCCCUCACCCAUUUUUUUUCUUCAGAUUUUUCAUUUUAUUAUGAUGUUAACUACUUUUUUUCAUUAUUAUUAUUUGUUGGUUUUAUCUUAUCAUUUUAUUUUCUCUUAGUUUGUUAAUUGGCUUAUUUUUCAGCAUUAUCAAUUGAUGAUAAGUUUUAACCUCUUUUCCUAUCUUUCCAAAAUGAAAUUUUAAAUUUAUACAUGAAAAAAUGUUAGGGAUUCAAAAUUUUUGGAUUAAGUUUUCAUGUUAAUUUUUAUAGUAUUUAGUUCAAAUAUUUAUAUUCUUAUUAUUCAAUUAUUAAAUAGCAUGUAAUUUUGUGACAUAAAGUACAGAUGAGAAAAAAAAUUAGUAAUUAGGUUUAUUGAACAUUAUAAGUAAAUAUUUAAAACUAAUGAUGGGUGCAAAGGAUGGUAUAAAUUGAUAACUUAAUUUGCAAAAAUGAAUUUAAAUGAGUUUACAAAAAGUUAAAAUAAAUAGGUUAUAAAUGGAUAAUUGGGUUAUCCAAUUCAUUUUUUGACUUAUCCAUUUAUACCCAUCUAAUUAAAUGGAUAUAAAUAGGUUGACUCACUUAUAUCCAUUAUCCAUUUUAUUCAAUCCAAACCCGUCUAAGUCAAUCAUUUUGAAACCUCUACUCCUACCCUAUAACAAUAAAAUUUGGAGAAUUGUGCAAAGUUAUAUCUUCAAACUGGGUGUUGAGGAUAAUUGCUCCCUUGACAAAACUUUGGGAAUUAUACUCUCUUGAGCUCGCAAGGUGAGGCAAAUGACAAGUACCUGACAAUGGUAAAACCAAUUAAUCAAUGGCCCUCCACCUGUCAUUAUUGAUGCCACGACUAGCCAAUGAAAGUGCCAGGACGACAAUAUAAUAUAUUUGUAGUUUUUAACUAUUUUCUGUCACCAUUUGAACAACCAACGAAAAGAGGACAAAAUAUGUUUACCAACGCUAAUUGAAAUCCAAAUGUACGCUUCUUACAUAAUCAAAUAAACUAUUCCUAAACUGCUUGCCAACAAACCAAUCAAAUUGAUAGACAGAUACCCUUUCAUUAGUUCGGCAGCCUAAUGUAUGGACCCUGCCGGAUGAAUCUCUUCAUUUCCGGUGAAACGUCAGAAGGCAUGUAGGCCCAUUCAGCAAAUCAGACACAUUAAUAGUUCUGUUUGUACUAGUAAUAUUUUUACGCCCUUAGGUCAUCCUUCAGCAAAACUUAAGGUUUCAUUUAAGGCACUUGAGGCUCUGAUUUCAGUAUUUAGAGAUUCAGAGUUUAAAUCUCCCUUCUCCAUCUUUACUUCUUAAAUUUCGCCAUCUCUACUUCUUAAAUUUCACCAUUUUUCGUAUUAGAAAAAAAAACUACAUAAUUCGGCUCAUGAGAGUUAGUAUUCAUAAUUGUCAUAUUAUAUAUAUAUAUAUAUAUAUAUAUAUAUAUAUAUUUUUUUUUUUUUUUUUUUUUUUUUUUUGUCGACACAGGGGUGUCCGGGUCAAUCCUUACGGGGCUCGACUAAUCCCCUGCAGCCCGGGCCCGGCGCCCCAACCCGGCCCGAACACGUUAAGUGCGCGGAGGAAUCCAGCGGAGCGGAGACUCGAACUUGUGACCUCAAGAUUCACUGGUGAGAGGCGCUGCCGCUGGACCAUUCACGCGGGGCUCAUAAUUGUCAUAUUAGCAUGUACAAAAUUCAUAUGUUAGACAGUCAAAAUUUUUGUACUAGUCAAAAUUCAAAAUGAAUAUUAAUAUGAGUAAUACAAGUACAUAUUCUAUAUGACGACUUCAGCAUUUAAAAUUCACAAUAUACCAAAGUUACAAGUGUUAUUAUUUUGAGAAUUUUAAAUACUUCUCAACCAAUUAGUUAUUCUGAUUUAGUAUGAGUUCGUGGUUAACCUCACAAAUGGAACAUUAUUCACUUUCAUUUAUUCCUGAAUUUUAAACAUAUCCAUACCCAAAUUUACCUAUAUCAUGAUAUUCAAACGUUAACUUUACAUUUGAUUAAAGUUAGCCAAUGAGAAGCAGAUAUGGUGCUUCCAACAGACAUAGAAGAGACUGUCAAUACAAAAUUUUUAUCUAUCUUAUUGGAAGAUUUUGAAUUUUUUUGUAUUUUUUCAAUCUAUUUAUAGUUUUUCAGAUUUAUUAUAUUUGGUAAAUUGCAAAAAUGUGAUUUGUAAUGCAUGUUUAACCUGUCAUUAGGACAGUGACGCAAAUCAAAUCAGAUGAUCUCUAUCAAUCCUUUAAUGAACUUUAAUGAAUUUUGCUUUUUAUCAAACAAAAAAAGUCAUUUACACCAAAAUUAUCCAGGAUUCCCAUUUUCAGUUGAUGAGUAUGACCUACCAACCAAAUGGGGCAAUCAUAACAUGCAAAGAAUCUAAAGAAGCAAGCAAACUAAGCCUUUUGUUUAAAUUGCAGCCUUUGCAUACCCGUCACAAAGAACUUUUUUGGGUUUUCCCUUCUUUCACUAGUACUUUGCUUUUGCCUCAAAUCUUCCCUCCUUUUUCAAUCAAAAUUCAUAGAGGUGUAAUCCUUGCCUUCAAAUCAUGGGUUUGAAUCGAAAUUCAUCAUCACACUUUUCUUGAUUAUCUUUAAAAUACUUCACAUUUAUAAUUAUAGUGUUGUGCCUACAUGUUUGUUUUCCAUUAAAUGCACUAGUGUUUGUUCUUCAUGGUGCUUUUAUGAUUCACACUGAUAUAACAGAAUCCGGCUCCACCAGAUUUUUACUGUGAUUUCAUUUCCUUCUGUUUCUGAGUGCUGAAACCUGCCUUGAAUUCCAUUGAUGCUCAGGUGGUGCCAUAGCAAAUACGUAUUUCUAUAAAAAAGGGAAGUUCAGUAGCCAUCCCACUCAAGUAUAGCUCAAGUCCUUCAGCAUAUUUCUUGUUGCCUUUUCUGAGCUUUGCCUUGAGAGGGAUUUCAUGGAAAGUGUCAACAGGGAAGCUAAAUCAAAGAUGGAAGAUUACGAAGUAAUAGAGCAGAUUGGGAGAGGUGCUUUUGGAGCAGCGUUACUUGUUCAUCACAAGAUAGAGAAAAAGAAGUACAAAACUUAAUAAGCUUCUCUCUUUUUGCAUUGUUUGCUAUGUAAAUUGCUGUCCCCUAGAACUAAUAAUGCUUUGUCUAUUCAUCUUUAUUAUUUGUCUGUGUAUUCCCUUUCAGGUAAAUUCUUCAGUUGUUGAUGUCCAAUCAAUAGUUCUUAACCAUAAUACUGAAACGGCUUAGUAUGUUAUUACAACAUGUUUCUUUUUAAAUUGCAGCUCAUUUUUAUUUUUUGGGGUGGGUAAGGAAUCAGCAUAAUUAUAUUUCUUGUGCAUGCAGAACCUUCCCUAUUUCUAUUUUAGGGUCUUAGAGAUGAACCUCCUUUUUUUUUUAGGGUGAGUAGGGGAUGGGUGGUUUGGGGGGGGGGAGCGGUUGUAAGUUGGGGACUAUUCAAUUAGUUAAUUGAGAGGAUGACGAAUAGGAACUACUAUGCAGAUAUUGAAAAAUUGACUAUCUUGCUUUCUAUCUUCUCCAACGAAAUCUAUGGGAGUUCUGUUCAUUUUUGGGGUUUUUUUUAUUCUUAGGUAUGUGCUGAAGAAAAUUCGUCUAGCUAAAGAAACGGUGAAAUUUCAGCGAACUGCACAUCAAGAGGUUAUACUAAACACUUCCAGCAUUCAUUUAUUAAUGUACUAAAUAACUUGUAGUGACUGAGAUUCUUAUCCGCUUCAAGUUUUUAUUAGUGAAGAAGAAAUCAUUACCAGCUAGAUGACUAUAAUUAAUCAUUGGGACCACUGUGUUUUCUUUCUUUCUUUUUUUCCUUUUUACAUAAUUUUGGAUGAUUUCGGCUAAUGUUAACUACUUCUUAACCGAAUAGUAAACUUCCCUUUUUUUUGGGUCGUUCUUAUGCUUCUUUAGGCCAAUUAUUGCAGAUGAAUUUGAUGGCAAAGCUGAAUAAUCCCCAUAUUGUACAAUACAAAGAUGCAUGGGUGGAAAAGGUAAGUUGAAAUACCUUCUUAAAAGAUGUCUUGAUUUUCAAUUAGCCAAUAAUUCCCUCCCAGGUCCAUAAAAAUUUCAUGCAGGUCAGAUUAGCUCAAUUUCUUUUAAAACUAAACGAAUUCUGAAUUGAACCAGGAUUCCUCUGUAUGUAUCGUCACAAGUUAUUGUGAAGGUGGAGACAUGUAAGUUGCAGUUACAUCGAAUAAAGCCUUUAGCAGUUGAAUGCACAAGGAUUUAUAUCAGUGAUUUUUUUUAGCCAUUAACAUAUGAAGAAACUGCAAACUCGAUAUAAUUGAUUUUAUACUGCUUGAGAGAGCAGUUUAUGACCAUUUCUUGUACUUCCAAAUCAAUUUACUGCUCCUACAAGGCCAUAAUGUCAUUACUACAAUGAUUCUUCUCUUAUUCAGAGCACUAGUAUUAGAUGGUGCUUUCAAAUUUUGCUGACACAACUAUUUUGCUGAUUUUGCAGGACUAAGAUGGUCAAGAAAGCUGGGGGGACCUUCUUUCCUGAAGAGGUAAGAAGUGUUAAACAUCAUCUAGCUAGAAACUUUAAGGCCUUAAAAUUAGUGCAUGCCUGAUGCUUGUUCCCCUUGUAGAAGCUCUGUAAGUGGAUGACUCAGCUCUUGAUAGCUCUGGACUAUCUUCACUCAAAUCGCAUACUUCACAGGGAUAUCAAGGUAUGCUGUGUUCUGAUUAUCCUGAAAAACAUAAGGCUGCAGCUUUAAGUUCUCAUUUGUUUGUCAAAUUAAACAUGAAAAGCGUACUGUUAAAUGCUGAAUAGAGUGCAAUGUUCUUCAUGAAAUAUGUACUGUUAAAUGCUGAAUAGAGUGUAUUGUUCUUCACUGCAGUGCUCAAAUAUUUUCCUCACACGAGGCCAUGAUAUCAGGCUGGGUAAUGAAGAAAAAGAAAAUUUGAAAAUUCUGGAACAUGCCAGCCAUCAUGUUGCAUUUCACACAUCUUUCAACCUGUAUGCAGGUGACUUUGGACUUGCAAAACUUCUAACCAAAGAUGGUCUUACUUCUUCAGUAAGGACUUGUUUCUUUCCCUUUCUAUUAGGCCUUGCUCUAAUAUGUCAGAUGAAUGUCUGCAAGAAUUAAGUGCAACAAUUAGAGUAGUAAAGGUUGUUAAGGUAGAACCCUCAUAACUCGAAGAAAACGAGUGGAAAGAUGAAUGUGCUAUUUGACAUGCUAUCAUCUGACAAGCAAAGUUUGUACAUUAGAUUGCCAAGUGGGGGAGAAAUUGAUGCUUCUGUCAGAUAAUUGCACAGGUUAAAAUUACAAAUGCACCUGAAAGAGGACUUGGAUUUUAUCAUCUAUCAGAAAUGUUCUCAUAGAUAUGCUUAUUAUGGGCAUAAAAGUACAACACAGUAAAAAAAAUUAUCUACUUUGUCCCAUAUAACCAUGAACGAAAACAUCAAUUAGAAAAAUUGGUUCACUAGUAUGCCGGCACAAUCUUUCUUCUGUGCUCAGUGUACAACGGGAUGAUGAAAACUAUCAUGGAGAUCAGCCGUGAAAUAUGAAAUGCAGAUAUGGUUCCUGGCUAGUUAAUAAUUCUUGUUAUAACCUUCUCCAUUGAUCCAGAAAGAUUACAAUGAAAUCCUUUAUUCCCUUCAUGCCCUUCCUACUUCAACAGAAGGCACCAAGAAAGAGGAAAAAUGUGCCACUUGUUUGCUAUUACGAGGGACUAUAUACCUGCUCAUAUUUUCUGCAACAUAUCAUACCAGUCUGUAUUUUCGUAUCUGUUCAUGUAAAGCAGAACUCAAGGUAAUGAUUAAUUCACAAAUGACGAAAAGUGUACUGUUCUAAUUUUGCAGUAUCUGAGACAUGGAAACAUCAUAAUAUGGUUGACAGAAUAGUUAGAUCAGCUGUAUUUGAUAAAUUCAUACACAAUCAGCACUAUUCUGCAGGUUCAAGGCUAAAAUGAUAAACAUAUAAGUCCCCUUACAAAUCAAGUAAUCAAUUAAUUAGUAAACAAAUAUUCAAAGGGAAGAAAAGCUAAAAAAGAAUCAAAGGGAAGAACGAAGAGGUUUCAGAAUAGGCAGCGUUUACUACAAAUAUGUACUUGGAAGGUAGAGCUCGUAGUAAAGGAAUAGAUCUCCUGGGCCUUCUUUUUUUGUUUCUUUGCUGUUUUUCAUAUUCCAGCAAUUCCUAUGGCCAACACUUCCUUAUAAUUGAUCUUCUUAGUUGACUAAGCAAGCACCGUACCAUAAUGCACAUUGAAUCAAGAAGUUCUAGUCAACCAUGAUGUUAAUCAACCAAACUGAAGAACCACAGAGGUAUUGGAGGAACUUAACCUGAAAUCUUAAUUAUCCAAUGAUCUAAACAAUGCAUUUGCAUCUGUAACUUAGUUUCUGUUUUUUUUUUUUUCCCUUCUUUCUUUUAAUCUGAUGUGACUUCCUUAAUAUAGUAUUUAGACUACAAAAAUUUUGGUCAACUAGCAGCUUGCAUGGAUCUAAAUGGUUUUGCUUGUGUGUACCAUCUAGGUGGUUGGCACUCCAAACUACAUGUGCCCAGAGCUCCUUGCAGAUUUACCUUAUGGCUACAAAUCUGAUAUCUGGUCCCUAGGUAACUACACUAGUUCUUUGCUCUAUUAAACUUGUUCUUCAACUUUGGGAGCUUGGUAGCUUGGUGCCCUAAGUUUCACCACAAAUGAGUUUUCCAACUUCUCAGGCUGCUGUAUGUUUGAGAUUGCUGCUCACCAACCACCAUUUAGAGCUUCUGUAAGUUUCAGCAUGAUCUACCUCUGUCAGUUUUCUUUAAUUACCCGCCACUUUCUUAGUCAAAUUCAUAGAGAAUGACCCUUUAGAACAUUACUGAAACAGGAUAUGGCUGGACUUGUAAACAGAAUAACUAAGUCGACAGUAUCUCCAAUCCCAACAGUGUAUUCCACCACAUUGUAAGUGAAUAACAUUUUCAUUAUUUAAUACUUCCAAUGACUCCCUAUCAGUAUUUGCAGAAGGUAUUUUUGUUGUAAAAUUAUUAGCUUGGCUAAUGGAAAAGAUGAGAUAAUGUUCCCUUGCUCAUCAGGAAGCAAUUGAUCAGAAGCAUGCUUAGGAAAAAUCCUGAACACAGACCAACGGUUAGUAGCAAUACUAUCAAUCACCCAAUAUAUUAAAAGCAAUCACUUAAUUCACUCAUUUCAUGCAUUAGGCAGCAGAGCUCUUGAGGCAUCCGCAUUUACAGCCAUACAUUGCUCAAUACCACAACUUAUCUCCAGUCUUCGUUCCAAUAAAGUCUACAAAGAAUUCAAAACACAAGGCACCGCAGGGUCAACUGUCUGGCAAGCCCAAGUUAGGAAAGGAUGGAAAAUCUGGAAAGGAGAAUCUGGUAAAACAGAUGCAAGGUGUUGAAGCAGUCAAUAGAAAUAUCAACCUGCUCCAAGGUAAUGUAGUCAGAGCUAAACUGCCUGCAUCCAAGAUCCCAAAAGCCAGCAGUGAAACAAUGCAGUUGCAGUAUGUUGGCUCUUUCAAGAAAAUACCUAAAACUGAUGGAAGUGAUAGAGCAGGCUACAAUUACAUAAGAAAAACAAAAGGUUUCAAUUCCAGAACCUCGUCAAGCAGCACUCUAACUGAUCAGCAUGAAGAUACAGAACAAUUAGCCCAUGCACCUCAAAAAAUUUAUGGAGAAUCUGAGGCUGGAGGUUUACAGGAACUGCACAGAAGAAUGGAAAAGCCACAUGUGUCUCUAUACAUUAAUUGGCUUCUUGAAGACGAAGAGCAAACAUCACCAGAAGCUACAGUGGCUCUAGAACAUAACCCAGGACCAUCCUCGAGAAAUUAUAGAGAGGAAUUCUCAAAAUCGUACUCUAUGAUUUCAGUUACAGAAAACACCUCAACUGGACUUUCAAGAGAUCAAGGAGGAGCUAAAGUAAAUGAUCAACAGUCCUCCAUGAGAGCAGAAAAUGUUCACAGUAGCAAUCUAAGUCAGGAAGUUGGUGAAACGUCAUCAAUCAGCAUGCAAAAUUUUCUACAUAUCAGCAAACUCAGAAUGAAAUUAGAUACAGCAAGCCAAGAAAGAGCAGAUGCCCUGGAAUCAUUACUUGAACUUUGUGCAAAGCUACUUAAGCGGGAAAGGAUUGAAGAACUUGCUGGGGUGUUGAAGCCAUUUGGGGAAGAAGCUGUAUCAUCAAGAGAAACAGCAAUUUGGUUGACAAAGGGACUCCUUAAUAUUCAAAAACAAGGGGCAUGAAGCUUGGUAUUUUCCUGUAAAUUAUCUUAGCUAUCUGAAAUAUAUCUAUUACAAGAAUGAGUUCUUAUAUGACUAACUAGGGUAUGUGCCACUGAAAACGAGAAAAUCACUUGACUUCAUUAAGGCUAGAAAACAAAAAUGAGAUAUACUCAGAAUAUGAAUGGUUUUAAAAUGACAAAAGGCAGAAUUGGAGAAGUUCAGAAGAUUAUUUGGAGUAAAAUUGGGCAUAGUCCUGACAUUGCUAAAAUCUAAACCAGCUAAUGAUCUACUACCAUAGCUAGUUCUCUUCAGCUGACUGUUUUAUUGCUUUUCUUGGCUAAAUCUUUGUUUACUUUGCCAGAAUGAUGAUUCUGCUUAGUUAUUUGAUCAUAGAUAAAUCUCUCUGCUUCAUUUCUUCGUAUUGCUGCUCGUGAAGAUCAUUGCAACCAGUGUCUGCGUUUUGGUGGUAUACAAAGUCAACUAGGAGCAAACUGAGAUGUCACUAUAACUUUGAUUCCUGUGUUUUAUCAGCACAUCUCGGGGCAGGCAUUUUCUUGGUUAAACACUUCAGCCGCAAAAAUUGGCAUCAUAUAACAAUUAUAUGAAAGGAUGCCAACAAGAUUUAACAUAGGCACUGCUAUCUGAUAGAGUUUAUUCUGUGGUAAUGUCUUCAUUAAAUUUUGGUAAUUUUGCAAUCCUACUUUGACAUUUUGGACAAUUUCAAUUAGUUCCCUAUAUUUUUGUUAAUGUAAAUAUGUUAAGGAUAACUUUUUAAUACACUGUUAGUGUAUAAUUUUCUUUUAGACUAACAGGUUUAAAUCAUACUAUAUAAUAUGAAUUCAAAUUUAAAAUUCAAAUCAUGUACAUGUAGCAUACAUCCAUAACUACUAGUGUAAAAAAUCACUGUGCUAUCAAUGCAUAAAAAGUAAAUCCAUAUAUUAAUAUAGAAAUUUAGUGUAUCAAUUAGCUGAUUAGCAUCAAUUAAGAAGUUUCUUUAUAUAAACUAGUCUAGGUUCAAUGUAAUAGUUGUUUAGAUUCAUUUUGUAUAAGCCUAUAAAUAUAGGCAUAAUUCUUUGUAUAUGAAUUUUCCUACAAAUAUGCCUAUUUGAGUUUACAAUUUUGCAUCUUUGUAUAUAGGCAUAAUUCUUUGUAUAUGAUUCGGGAAAACUGUAUAUGAAUGUUUACAAUUUUCCCAAAUCUCCAUUUCUUUAACAGUUUUCAACAUUACAAUUACCUCGCCAAUUUGAGUUUCACUGUAACAAAGUCAACCAUUGUUUCUAAAACUCAUAUAAGAUGCUAGCAACACAGAGGUUAUCGAAACACUAAACCAAAUGUUUUUUUUUUCCAAGUCUGAGCAGGAAAACACUAAAACUAAAGUAAAUUAGUAGCACUUGAAUUCGGUUUACAACUUUGAACAUGUUUCUCUGUGUUCUACGGGAAGCAUUCUAGGACUGCUAGACGUCCAUUGUGGGCAGCUUUGGAGGCUCGAUCAGUAGAGAUAACUGGCCCCUGGAUGGUGGGAGGGGGGCUUCAAUGUAAUGGCAUCAGCUAAUGAGGGAAGAGGAGGCGCUCCGCCAAGGAUAGGAGAUAUGGACGACUUUGUUAUGGCUCUGACAAAUGCGGGACUUUCGGAGGUGCUGUUUGAUUGGUUAGAAUUUAUUUGGACAAAUAAGUGUGUAUGGCAGCGACUUGACAGAGUGGCAAUGAAUGCUGAUUGGAAUAUGGAUUUUAGUUUUGUGCAUGGAACACAUUUAGGUAGAGGAAGAUCUGAUCAUUCCUCUUUAUUGGUCAAAUCUUCUAAUGGCUCGCGGGGUAAAGGGUCUUUCAAAUUUCUUAAUGGGUGGCUGAAGCACCAAGAUUUCUUAAAUGUCGUGCGUCAGCAUUGGUCUCAGCUGGAAAUGGGGCAGGAACGGUUGUCUCUGACAACCGUUCCUGCGAGUUCACGGCUGUGAUUUUGGCCCAAAAAUUUGUGCGGCUCAGAUCACAUGUGGUAAUUCGAUUUUCACACCAUGUGUGGGUCCCACAAAAAAGUGUUCUAAAAUUACGUUAUGUAUAAAGAAAGUUACACCGUGAAGAAAGUUACACCGUGUGCUACCGAUGUUACGCGCAGUGCAAAAUGCACACAAUUGGUACAAACGGUUGCACCUGCAACCGUUUGUGCCCCUUGUCCGUCUCAGCUAGUGCAGGCUUAUGGUAAGGUUGCUUUUUUGCUAAAUUGAUGAGGUUGCGCAAAGCGUUAAAGGCAUGGAACCAUCAUACUUUUGGUCACAUUGGGCGUCAAAUCUAGAUAGCUGAACAAGAAAUGCUUAGGGUGCAGAAUCAAUAUGAUCAACAUAGAGGGCUAGAGCAAAGCUCAAUCGAGUUAUGUUCAACAUGAGUUAUGUUCUCAGUUGGGAAAGGCCUAAGCUAAGCUCACUCGCUUACAAAAUGUAACUAGCAGAUGUUCACCAUGCUUGCGCAUGGUGGAAAAUCAUAAGUAUGCCCAACCCAGUUUUGGCUAAUAGUUAUGAAUAUUAUAUAUGAAAAAAAUUGCAUAAUAUUGUUUUAAGUAUGUUAAUGUGUUAAUCUUUUAACAAAAACUAAGUCAUAAAUAAGAAUAAUAUUUUUUGUUAUAGGAUAUUUAGUAGGGUUAAUCCACAAUUGAAUAAUAGCUGGACAUCGGUCAAUUUUGAUAUUCACAGAAAAGAAAUUAAUUUGUUGUAUUUGAAUUAUUAUUUAGUAAAACAAAUGUAUGAUAAAAGCUAAGAAAUGGAUAAUUAGACUUUCACUGCUACUGAAGUUAAAACUUAUCUAUUUAUCUUUAAAAUACAAGACUAACAUUACAAGAAUUACUAUCCACAUGAAAAUAAUCUCUAUAACAAUUGAGCUUCUGACUGCCAACACGAUGUAGGUUAUCAUUUUUUAUUUUUCCAAUUAUCUGGCUGCCUUGCCUUUUCUUGAAUAGCAACAUCAUCAUCAUCCUCCUCUUCACCGCGUCUCAAGUUAUCCUUAGGACCUUAGCCAACGUGACAGUAGCCAAUUUCUAUAAUAAUCAACAACCAAAAUGUGAACAACAUUUUUCAGUCAAACCACUACAACUUCUGAUCUAAGUAGGUGUAUGGCAUCUCUUAAAAUAUAAUUGGCUUCUUGAUUCAUCAUAUAUCAAGUCAACAAAAUCGAGGUAGCAUCUCUAACAUGUUUGAACAUUUGAUGGUGUUCAAAAAACAUGUAGAUGACCUAUUAGUCUAUUUAAAAACAGAAAAAAGGAAACUAUAGAAGGAAAUAAAAAAAACAGGGUGUAGUGUGUGUCUCUGAUGUAGAGAGAGGUAGAGAGAGCAUUUGCUAAAGAAACAGGGUAGGAUACAAUUUAGGUUCUCAGGUUGUAUUAGGAAAGCUUACUAUGAACUCCAAUGAUUCUAGCCUCGUUUGGAGACAAUAAAAGCUUGGUAAAUGGGAUUAUUAUCUAGCAUCAUGCAAGCAAAAACGUCCUUGCCCCCUUGCAAAAAACCAAAAGGUGGACCACUGGGUUAGCACAUUGCUGGCAGAAAAAGUUUUGCAGUUGCUGGGAAGAACAUACUAAGAAUCACCUUAACUGAAACUCAAAUUUUUUUCACUAAUAAAGUCAAUUCCUAGUCAAUUUCUCAAACUUUGCCCCUUCUUUCUAUUUUUGAAUACACAAUUCAAAAAGGUAGGUUGAAUAAAGUCAAUUCUAUUUUUGAAUACACAAUUUCCUUUUUGCUGUAAAAGUAGGUUGAAAGCCAUAAUGCUCCAGUGGAGGCAACAAAUUCAAAUCCCAGGACAGCAGGGGAAGUGACGUAGCAAAAUCUACCCAAACGACAUCAAAACCAAUAUAUGGUAGUUCAUCACUACCUAAAUCGACCCAAAUGACAUGUAUCCUGAAGUAGGUUACAUAUUUCAAUGUGGUGAUUAGAAUGAAACUCCACAUUUUUAAUACGAUACACGCAAUCAAAAUCCUGAAAGAUAAAAAAUUCCGAUAGCAUAAAUACCAAGGAGAUGGACAAGUAGUUAUGAUUGGUUUCAGAAACAGACGAACUCGAAGCAGCUAUUGAUUGCUAAUUCACAAGCAAAUAUCCCUCUAUUUUCAUCAGAUCAUCACCUCCAAAAGAUCAAUUACAUGUCAGCUUACAGGCAGGAAAAAAUAUCAGCCUGUUGAAGUUAAGAAAAUAUCAAAAAUAAACUGCAUAAUGAAGUUCCUUCAUGUUUUGUCUAGGCAAACAAAAGGGUGAAAGUUAAGAAAAAUUUUAUUUAAUUGUGGAGUUUUUUACAUAGAAUUUCCCAUAGUAUAUCUGUAUAAUCAAGUACAUUGAGGCAAACCCUGAAGGAAGUGUAGAUAUACCUCUUGCUAUUCAAUUUGAAGCAUUUACGAGUUAAUCAUUUAAAAUCUUAAAGCUUCUAGUAAAAUUACCAUCACCUCUGGCUCAAAUUUUCACCUAAAAAGGAAUCAAACAAAGAUAGGUAAGAUGAGUAAAAAUAAGUUUCGAAAACAAAAGAAGAGCAAUUUUUUGGAUGGAUGCAAUGAAGUAUGAAAAUUUUUAGAUAGUGACUACAAAGUAAAAGAGAAAUAUAAUAAUGAUGUAGCAAUAUGAUCCAUUUCCAGUUAAUGAUACAUAAUCUAUAGUCUGUAAAAAAAUAAUAAUGUUAUUACUACUUCAACUCAUUGUUUGAGACAUCUCACAGAUUGCCUUUUGUGAGCCAAGAGUUGUAUACAAAACUACAUAGUAGAUAACCACGAAAAAGAAAAAAAAAAUACAAAAUCAAAUAAGCCGAAAAUCCAGAGAAAAAAAUAGCAAAAAAAGAAACUUAAAAUCAAAUGACAUUUCCCACUUCCAAAAUUUCUAGAUAAUCUUUUCGCAAGUGACCAUUUGUUCUUGAUCCAUUCGAAAGAGCUAGGGAGUAAAACCACCUAAAGUAAAGCCAACUAAAAUGCAUUGAAUAUUUACCAUGCUCAAGAACAAACUCAGGGAAUAGAGUAACUUUCUGCUAUAUUGCACAAGAGCCAAAAUUUACAGCCUUAAAGCACCACAUAAAAUUGAGAAAUCCCUCAAAUUUAAAGAAAGAUGGCUAACUAUUUUCUUUAUCAAUCAAACGAAAAUAUAUAACAAGUACUUUUCAGUUCCAUAAAACUUACCAUUCACCCACUGAGGAAUGUUAGUAAUCCAUGACAAAAUCUUCAAACAUGCAACUACAACACUGGAAAAAAAAACUAAUAACAAAUCUAAAAGGAAAAAAAAGGUGCCAAGAAAACAGGAGCUCCAACAGCGAGACAUUUGCAUGUUAUUCUUGCUGAAGAAAAAAUAUUGGUUGAAAGGUAAAGGUAUUACGUUUUAAACUUGAAUUCCACCAUUGUAUAUAAGAAUAGGGUAGAAAUUCACGUGAGAAGAAAUUAUCUAAAAUUUGUCAAUAAUGGUCUGAGAUGCUAUGUGCCAAAGAAAUAUUAGGAAGAAAGGACAUAUAAAACAUAUUGCAAGAGAGUAAGUAAUUAGGGCAUAAUGGAAAGAAAAAAUUUUGCAUUUCUUAUUUACUUGUCAAACAAUAAAAUUAUUUGUUCAUCUUGAAUUUUACCAUUGGAAAUUAAAAAUAGUAAAAAACUCACGUGAGAAGAACCUUUCUAAUUUUUCCCUUUUUUCCUUUUAGACCUCCUAAAAUUUUUCAUUAAUGGUUUGAAAUGCUCUAAGCUAAGGAGAAAGUAGAAGAAAGAAAAAAAAUAGAUAAAAUAUAUGCAAUAAAAUAAGAAAUGAGGGCAGACAAACCUUACCUUGUAAUAAAUUCUCUAACCUAAAUGGCAAACUUUAAAUAAACAAUAAAUGGACACAUAUUUCUGAAAAAAAAGUUCCAAUAAAACCCACAAAAAAUGAAAUUUGUCAACGAAAUUGUUUAUGAAGGUAAAAAAUUCUAGAUAUGAUGGGUACCUAUAUCAGAUUUUUCCACAUCUUAGUAGAGGGACGAUGGUUCUUGCUCCUGCGUUUGGAGAGAAUGAAUCAAAACAAAGAAGGAAAAUGUUACCGAAAAAAAAGAAAGAAAACAAGGACAUUAAACAUAGGCAAAAGGGGUGAAAGUUUACCAUGAUUACAUUUGGGGAAAAAAAUGAUUCAGAUGACUGAGAUGAAUCAAACAUCUUUCCCCUUCAUCUUUGUUUCCCCUUUACUGUUAUUUGAAGAGAAAGCUUGAGAGGAAUCGGCCAUUAACAAAGAAGUGAGAAGGAAUGAGUGAGACAAAGGAGUCAUCUGCCUUUUUUCUAAUAUGUUCUGGUGGGGCAAACGAAGAGCAGGGGAAAAAAUUUUGAGAAGUGAGAGACUUUGAGAAAGUUUCUGAGAGGGUGGCGGUGAAACAUGUGAGAAGUGGUACUUGGCACAUUGGACAGAGAGUCCCAACAGAUGCAUGCUUUGCUUUUUUAUGCUUUUUAUACGGAAUACAUACAUGCUAAACCUUUUUCGUUCCAACUUCCAAGACAACAAAAGAAGAGCCUUUCUAUUAAUCUCUCUUGGAUUCCGACACACAAAAGAAUAUUAAUCAAAACAAAAAAAUUCUCACACAAAAUCACGUGCAAUGCACAUCGAGGAUAACCAUGUUUUGGCAUCCUCUUUCCAGCUUAUAUACGUUCUUUAAAUGAAGUAGUACUCCUUAUUUCUUGCCUUCUUUGGUUGUAAAAGAGGGCAGGUAUAGGCUCCCUCCUACACUUGUUUUCUGGCUGAACAAAUAAAAUUUGGGACUAGCAUCCCUCUCCUCAUACGGGUUUGCCGAAAAAAAAUGAACAACUUUGACUCGCCUCCACAUUCGCACUUUUAAGCUCUUCCAUUGUACCAUAUACACUCGUCAAUGUCGUAAAAAGUUUGAAUUUACAUAUUAUUUUAAGAGAGGAUAAGACGCAUUCGGAAGAGAUCACUAUCUUCUUCAAAACAAAAGACUGCUUGUCAUAUAUUUUAAUAAAAAUAAGGGUUAAUAUCAGAAACCUCCCUUGAGGUUUCUUCUAAUCACAUCUAGUACCCCUCAUGUUUUUGAAAUCACACUUAGCACCCCUGGCAGUAGGAUGUGACAGGUUGUCCUGAUCAAAAGGUGAGAAAUUACCCAAAAACCACCAACACCAGGCAAAUUUUUAAGCGGGGAAAUGCUGGAAAAAAAUAAUGAAAAAGAAAAAUGAUUGGAAACCAAAAAAUAACAAAAAUGCCAUUGUUUUGGCGCACAAUUUGAGCGCCAUUUUCUGCAUAUAUAACCAUGAUAACCAUAAAAGCUUUCACAAGUAAGACAACUUGAAAGGUAAGUUGUACUUUUUUUUUUUUAAACUCAAAAUUGCUUAUGUGCUGGUAGAAUUAGGAAGAGAUUGCUGAUGAUUAGUUGCAAAUUAGUGCAGUGAUGAAGGAAUAUAGAACCUAUGUAGUUGAAAGCGUCGUUUUUGGGUGGAAGGAAAAGUUCGAGUGCAUUUGAAGUCGUGGAUUUUCAGCUUAACCUUCAAUUUUGGAUUCAACAAAACAGGUAAGCUUCACAGGCUGUCCUUGCAUAUUAAAUUUGAAAAUAGUACUCUUGAUGUUUUUGAUCUUGUCAAAAUGAAGCCAUGAGUGAUUGUUUUUUUAUCACAGAGAGCAGCUUUUGUUGUGACCAUGUGAUAUUCGUUGAUUUUGACUAAUCCAAGUAAUCCAAGUUUUCGCCAACAAGAUGCAGCUGUCAAUGUGCAAGUUAAUUUGCAGGCUAGCACAAGCACUUCUACUAAGAGGGUAAGCAUUAUAAUGUCAUACAUUGCUGCUGCAAAAUUCAGAACUAGUGCACUACUGGAGUAAUUUAAAGUUUUGCUGCAAAAAAGUUUAAAUUUGUUCUUUUCUGAUGCAGAGAGGAAGGCCUUCAAUGAAAACCAAUGCUGCUGUAAACAAGCAAGGCAUAAUUCCCUUUGUACCAAAUGCUCAAACUACUCUAAAUGGUGGAUCUCAAGCCGAAACUUCUGUUAGCAUUAAUACUGCUGCAAUAGUGGCCUCUAACACUAUUACCAGCAGUUUCUCUAUGAUGUUUUGAGAGUGCUAAAGGUUCCCCGCAAUCCUUGCUUUUGGUAUCUGAAGUAGUUUAGGUACUAGUCUUCUUAGCUCCCAGCAAUACUGAAGCAAUGUUAGCUUUUGUGGACAAUUUUUUGAUAAGUGGUGCAAUGUGCAUCUGAUUUAUAUUUCCUGCCACUUAUGGUGCUGUUUGACUAAUCUUAGAACUACUUGUGUAUAGUUUUGUGCAUUGCAAUCCUCACCAUCUAAACAACUAGUUGUAGAUGGUGUUUUUGUUCAGAAUUGAAUUGCAAUAUAAGGCUUACGUAUCAUGUUACUAGACUGAUCCAAUGUAGUAUCAUGGACUAUGUAAUUAGUGGAGAGGGGCAGGGAUGGUUACUGCCGUUAAAGGUAGUAUAAUUACUCGCUAUUGUUCUAGUGUUACAACGUGUACAAAUGAUGUUACACCGUGUGGGACGGUUACUACUGUUAAAGGUAGUAUAAUUACUCGUUGUUUUAGUGUUACAACGUGUACAAAUGAUGUUACACCGUAUGGGACGGUUACUAAUGUUAAAGGUAGUAUAAUUACUCGCUGUUGUUCUAGUGUUACAACUUGUACAAAUGAUGUUACACCGUGUACAAAAUGCACACAAGCUUCCGGAGUGCAAACGUUCCGGCCCCAGGUCCAUAAUUAGUUAUGCAUCUCUAUAUCGCCAAAAUCUCUGAUAAUUAGUUAUAACAUUCUUUUUAUUACACUUUUACACCCUCAGCUUCUAAAUUAAUAUCAUAUGCCUAUUUAUUUCUAUUUUUAUCUUCUAAAAUUUACUAAUCAUUUUGGGAUUUUGGGUAAAAGUGGAACAAAAAUAAAGUCUCUCUCCUACAAUUCAUUUUUUACUACCAUUUUCAAAUAGAGGGGCUGACAAGAUACCAAAGUUGUCAUUCCAAGGGUGCUAUGUGUGAUUUCAAAAACAUGGGGGGUGCUAGAUGUGAUUAGAAGAAACCUCAAGGGAGGUUUCUGAUAUUAACCCUAAAAAUAAUGUCGGAUGUCUAUUUGUUGAAUUCAAACACUACAAGUUACAAGUAAUCUAAUAAUUUUCAGCUGUAGUACAAUCAUUCCAAGUAUAACUUACUCACAUAAUAAUUUUUACCGUUACAAAAUGAAUCUAGAUUAUUUCAAAUUAUAGCUGAAAAAAAAAUAAGAUAUUUGUUCUACUUAAUGUUGGGAUUUGGAACUCCUAUUAUAAAUAUACGGUUCUGCAAAUCUAGUCUUUCAUACUUUGUAUAUCUCUAUCUAUUGUCAACUUCUCUUCCUCAAAUUAUUUCAUUAGGCAUUAGCAAGGUAUUAUAUAAAGUUUUAACUUCUCUGGAUCGCGUAGACUUAGCAAAAACAACAAUGAAGAGUACGUUGUUGCAUCUUAAAAGCAACGUGGCAUCAAGCUUUGACAUCGGACAUAAUCUCGAAAGAGAUGAGAGCAACCUAAUUCAUGUCUCAACUAACCAAAAUACUUUAUCUAUUUUUUCCUUUAACUUUUGUUUUGUGGGUCAGUCGUGCAACUGAAGUUCUCAAGGGUAAAACAUUUGCUUCUUUCAAAUACGAAGCAAAUGUCUAACAUCUUUGACCAAUAUUGUCCCACAGUUAACCGUCCCAUUGGGCCAUAAGUUUUGUUCCUGGAAGUGGGUGAAACCACAACAGAUGAAGAGCCCAAACCCGCAGGUCAUGAAGCCCCGCACCCCUCCAAAAGGUCUCAAUCAGGUAGGGGACACCACGACAGGUUAUUAAAGCAGCACAGGACUUCCUCCCUAGCUGAUGUGGGAUCAUUACAAUCCCACUCUAAAACCUCUGACCAAUAUUGUCCCACAGUUAACCGCCCCAUUGGGCUGUGGGUUUUGUUCCUGGAGGUGGGUGAAACCACAACAGAUGAGGAGCCCAAACCCACAGGUCAUGAAGCCCCGCACCCCUUCAAAAGGUCUCAGUCAAGUGGGGGACAUCACAACAGGUUAUUAAAGCAGCCCAGGACUUCCUUCCUAACCGAUGUGGGAUCAUUACAAUUCACCCCUCUUAGGGAACCCAGCGUCCUCGCUGGCACACCGAGGUCGGGAGUUGACUCUGAUACCAACUCUAACACCACUGACCAAUAUUGCCCCACAGUUAACCGCCCCAUUCGGCCGUAGAUUUUGUUCCUGGAGGUGGGUGAAACCACAAUAGAUGAGAAGCUCAAGCCCGCAGGUCAUGAAGCCCCGCACCCCUCCAAAAGGCCUCGGUCAGGUGGGGGAUACCACGGCAGGUUAUUAAAGCAGCCCAAGACUUCCUCCUUAGCCGAUGUGGGAUCAUUACAAUAACUUUUACACCUCUAACCAAUAUUGUCCCACAGUUAGCCGUCCCAUUGGGCCGUGAGUUUUGUUCCCGGAGGUGGGUGAAACCACAACAGAUGAGGAGCCCAAACCCGCAGGUCAUGAAGCCUCGCAUCCCUCCAAAAGGCCUCGAUCAGGUGGGGGACACCACGACAGGUUAUUAAAGUAGCCUAGGACUUCCUCCCUAGCCAAUGUGGGAUCAUUACAAUCCACCCCUCUCAGGGAACCCAGCGUCCUCGCUGGCACACCGGGGUCGGGAGUCGGCUCUGAUACCAACUCUAACACCUCUGACCAACAUUGCCCCACAGUUAACCGCCCCAUUGGGCCGUGGGUUUUGUUCCUAGAGGUGGGUGAAACCACAAAAGAUAAGGAGCCCAAACCCGCAUGUCAUGAAGCCCCGCACCCCUCCAAAAGGUCUCGGUCAGGUGGAGGACACCACGACAGGUUAUUAAAGCAGCCCAGGACUUCCUCCCUAGCCGAUGUGGGAUCAUUACAAUAACUCUAACACCUCUGACUAAUAUUGUCCCACAGUUAACCGCUCCAUUGGGCCGUGGGUUUUGUUCCUGGAGUUGGGUGAAACCACAAUAGAUGAGGAGCCCAAACUCGCAGGUCAUGAAGCUUUGCAUCCCUCCAAAAGGCCUAGGUCAAUUGGGGGACACCACGACAGGUUAUUAAAGCAGCCCAAGACUUCCUCCCUAGUCGAUGUGGGAUCAUUACAAUUCACUCCCCUUAGGGAACCCAACGUCCUCGCUGGCACACCGGGGUCGGGAGUCGGCUCUGAUACCAAUUCUAACACCUCUGACUAAUAUUGUCCCACAGUUAACCGCCCCAUUGGGUUGUGGGUUUUGUUCCUGGAUGUGGGUGAAACCACAAGAGAUGAGGAGCCCAAGCCCACAGGUCAUGAAACCCCGCACCCCUUCAAAAGGUCUCGAUUAGGUGGGGGACACCACAAUAGGUUAUUAAAGCAGUCCAAAACUUUCUCCCUAACCGAUGUGAGAUCAUUACAAUACUCUAACAUCUCUGACCAUUAUUGUCCUGCAGUUAACCCCCCAUUGGGCCGUGGGUUUUGUUCCUGGAGUUGGGUAAAACAACAACAAAUGAGGAGCCCAAGGCCGUAGGUCAUGAAGCCCCACACCCCUCCAAAAGGUCUCGGUCAGGUGGGGGACACCACGACAGGUUAUUAAAGCAGCCCAAGACUUCCUCCCUAGCCGAUGUGGGAUCAUUACAAUAACUCUAACACCUCUGACCAAUAUUAUCCUACAGUUAACCACUCCAUUGGACUAUGGGUUUUGUUCCUGGAGGUGGGUGAAACCACAACAGAUGAGGAGCCCAAGCCUGCAGGUCAUGAAGCCCCGUACCUCUCCAAAAGGCCUCGGUCAGGUGGGGGAUACCAUGACAGGUUAUUAAAGCAGUCUAGGACUUCCUCUCUAGCUGAUGUGGGAUCAUUACAAAAUGGAAUGAUGGAAUCGAUAAGGCCCGCUACCCCCAAAAAAAUUGAAAAUCCUAUUUUGCCCUUCUCCACCAAAUUUAAUUAACAACACUCUUUUACACCCUUUUCUCUAUAUGAUUUUCAUAUGGCACAACAACCUUUAAUCUUCUAGAUAAAUUAAAAUACCAACCUCUAGUCUCCUAACUAAACGUCAAUUAGAAUAGAAGUAAAAUAUAUAAGGAAAAUACAAUCAACAUAAAAUUUCAAAAUGUUAUUUGAAAUUGUUUGGAUUGAGAUGAUUUGAGAUAAAAUUAUUUGUUUUACAAAUUUCACUCACCUUUUUAUCUCACAUACAUCACAUCAUAAAAAGUACUGCAGUAAUUAUCUCAAAUAAAUCAUCCAAAUAAACUCCUACCCAAACAAACCCAACAAACGCAACUUACUAUGACAUUCUCAAGAUACCAUUCUAAGUUAGUGUAACAAAUACAACUGGCAAAACUUCAUUGUGACAAAUAUGAAAAGUCAGAACAUCUUGUUUUUAACUAUUAAUCUCCAAACUCCAAUUCCACAAACUUGAAUGCAAGUAUUAUUCUUACUAUUUUUCUAUAGAAAUUCCUCUAUUAAAUUUUCAAUCUUUAGUUAUUCUUUAUUCAAACAAUUAUUGUUAACCAUUGAGUAUUCUUCUUAAAGCUAGCUUGGACACAAUAUGGGAUAUAUGAUGUUUUUUUUGUAUUAUCUCAAUUUAGUAUCAAUCAAGCCUAAUUUCUUUGAACUCUAAAAUAAUUGUGUUUUGAAAAAGUGAAAAAACUCAUAAAUUUUUGCAUAGUGACUGAUAACAGAAUAGCAUUUUCCAUCGCAUAAUGCUCACAUUGGUAAAAUAAAAAAUUGAAUGGUACAAAGUUUGAUUUCAAAUGUUUUAUAUUUAGGCUUGUCAUAACCAUUGUGUACUUUCUUUGCUUCAUUGUUUUGCAUCUCUACCUUCUAUAUUGUUCGCCCAUUUUAAGCAAAAAAUUUGGCUCCAUUAUGAAAAGGUGCCCUAGUAACCUAGAAUUAAUGGAAAUUGGCAUAAAACAUAUAAAGCUUUUGAAAUUAUGAUGAGUGCAAGGUGUUUAACCAAAGAUGGAUAAAUAAUUCUAUCUCUAAAAAGUUUGUACCUAUAUUUUGCCAAAUUAAUUUCUUGAAAGGGAAAAUGGCCAUUUUCGUCCCUAAACUUUUUUUCCCGUUGAUUUAGUCCCUAACUUUUAUUUUUGGCCAAUUUAAUACAUGAACUUAAUUUUCGGGUCCAAUUUAAUGCCUUUCUACGGCGGCGCCACCACCUGAAAGUAAUUUAGCUCCUAAUUUAACAUUAAACAAGGGCAUUUUGGGAACUUCAGGUAUAAAUUGUAAUCAAAGCCCUCUUGUUGCCUUAGAAGCAGAUGAAGAAGAUGAACAACUUUUGAAUCUGUAGAAGCUUUUGAAAAGCCCUCUUGUUGAAUCUGUAGAAGAUGAACAACCUCUUGUUGAAUCUGUAGAGACUACACUACCAUUAUUAUUUAAAUCCCUCUGAUCAAUAAUUGGGCAUUUCCCACUCCUGCUCUUCUUCCAGCAUAGCGUCCGGGUAACCUAUGCCUAGCUCAGCUAAAACCCAUCCAUCCAGCUCCUUUUGCGCUUGUCUAUCAGACCCUCCAACAAAACCUACUACUCUUAUGGUAAUCCUGUCUUUUGCCAAAAUCCCAAAUUAAGUAACAAACGCACGCAGUUUCCCCUUUUUGUUGCCCCAGUAAUGAACGCUAACCAUUGUUCAAGGUAACUAAUUGUGUGUGUUACUAUAUUCAAGACAACAAGAAGUUCCCAAAAUGCCGAGCCAAAAUUCCUAAGCUAGUGCCAGACACUUUUGAAGUUUUAAGGCUCAGAUAUGUCAAAAUUAGGUCAGAGAAAGGGAAAGUGAUGCUGCCAUGGCUGCAACACCGGUUGCAACAUGAUGUGAGGAAAACAUUGAAAGUUUAAACAGACAGAGGACCCAACCCCAGAAAGAGGGAUGGAUCCUCUCAAACCCCUCCUCUCCCUCUCCCCCUCCUCCUCACAUUUGCAUCCGGGUUGCCUAGCCAAGAUAUGGGUCAGACUUGCCUCAAACACACUGACCCAUUUGCUCUACAAGUUAAAUCGUCACAGCCCUCUUGUUGCCUUAGAAGCAGAUGAAGAAGAAGUACAAUGGUCAGUCACGUCAAGAAGAAGCAAGACGUUAGAGAUCAUUAAGGCUCCAUUUGGUUCGCCAGAAAGUCACAUGGGAGUAUUAAAGUCAGGCUCUUGAGGAAGCUCCUGGUCAGGCUGGAGAAGUUGGUCAAGCGCGAGGGGUUUAGGGCCAAGGCAGCCGUUCUGGGGUUCAUGGGAUCCGUGAUCGAGUCCGGUGGGGCUCCUACUGGGAUGAUGCUGAGCAACUUGCUGGCGUGUCUGGUGCAGUUUUUGAGCAGUGAGGAUUAGGCAGCGAGGAAGGCCGCCCUUGGGCAGCGAGGAUUAGCUGAGAAAAGAACUGUUCCACGAAGGAGGAGGUGGGUGGUUGGUGGCAGAGGUUGAUAAUAGAGAGGAGAUAAUUCAAAGUUCCCCAAAUGCCGUUGUUUAAUGUUAAAUUAGGAGCUAAAUUACUUUUAAGUGGUGGCGCCGCCGUAGAAGGCCUUAAUUGGACCCGAAAAUUAAGUUCAUGUAUUAAAUUGGCCAAAAAUAAAAGUUAGGGACUAAAUCGAUGGGAAAAAAAAGUUUAGGGACGAAAAUGGUCAUUUUCCCUUCUUGAAAUCAUUAAAAGUAGAGAUCACAAUCAUUUUUUUUCCUUUCUUUCAAUUUUGGGCUACUUAUGAUGUUUGACCAAAUUACCAAAUGGACUUUGCGAUUUCAUUAAAUUACGAAAUAAUGUUCCAAUUUGACCAAAUUACCAUUAUUCCCUUAUGAAUGACGACAUCCAAACUUGACUAACAGAAAUAGAGAAAUGACACAAAUCUCCUUUGCAAAAUUUAAAUUUACUGCACAUGAGGUUUGCUCAAAUUACAAAAAAGAGCCUUAUAAUUUGACCAAAAUUUUUUAAUCUUUGAAUGGCCAACUAUUUAUAAGAAAAUCCCUUAAUAUGAUCAAAGAAAAAAUAAAAUUUGAAUUAAAAAAAUAAAUUAUUAACUAUUAAGAAAUGAAAAUUAACAAAUUGAGAAAAUUUUUGCCUAUGGCUUAUUUCAGCCACUGUUAACUUCCAACUCACUUUUCUUAGACAAAAACUUUUCUUUGUUUGAAAUAUGUAUUUUGUGUGAUAUAAUAAAAUUUAGCUACAUCAUAUGGUUUUUUAAUUCGUUACAUCAUAUUAACCAUAUCCUUAAUUCUAGAUAAGUAAGUGUCUUUGUUGGCUCUAGAUGCUAGGGAAUUCCCAACACUUAGGCUGGUGGCUACGUAGGUGGCAGGGGUCAUGGUUUGUACUCACUAAAUCAGUUGUACUUGUUCUUUUCUUUUGAAUAAAAAAAGAGUGUCUUUGUUGGACUUUUACUUAUAACUUGUAUAUAUUUUAUAUUUGCCAAAACCUUAAAAUUUAAUGUUUAAAGGUGGAUUCAAAUUUAUAGUUUAUUGUCUUUUUCAAAAAUAGAGUUUGAUUAUUUGCACAUCUACAUGAAAUAGGGAUUUUAAUAUAAAAGAAUGUGAUAGUGGAUGCUAAAGAAACUAUACCAAUGAUCAAAACACAAUUUUUUUGAAUUCCAUAUUACUAGAAUUUUGGUUACGUUAAUUUUCACCUAUAGGAAGACAAAAAGAAUGGUUUAAAAACCUAGUAAUUAACGAGAAUUUUUAGAUUUUUGUCAAAAUUUUUGUCACUGUCAAUGCAAUUGACUAGUGAAAAAUGGUCACUUAAUAAAAGUUUGGCUAUUUAAAACAUUAGAGUAAUUUGGACAAACCUCAAGAGAGGUAAGUAUAAUUUGGACAAACCUCAAGGGAGUAAAUGUAAUCAACUCAAUUUACAAAAGGGUAUUUUAGGGCUUUUAGACAUAUAUUUUACUCAUGCAAGCAUUAUCUUAAGGCAAUUGACAUAAGGGGGUCAAUUGAUAAAUGCUUUGCAAUUCAAGAUGUUUGACUAUAAUCUGAACAAAACACAGGAUAGAUUUAGAAAUUUGGUCAAAGCUCAAGGGAGUUAGACGUAAUUAGCCCUUCUUUUCUUUUAGUGGGAACUAUUAGCAAGGUAAAGGGUAGCAAAUUGGAACUAUCCUAACAAUCUGUCAAGAAAUGAAGUAAAAGCUACCUCCAUGUAGUCUCUAAGUACAUAAAGUGCGAAAGGAUUGGUAGUACCGAUCUGCUGGGGCGCUGUGGGACUAGUCGGGUGUAGGCCCGGAUACCCCAGUGAUGACAAAAAAAAAAAAAAAAAAAAAAAAAUUGGUAGUACCGAUCUCCGGUGGUUUCCGUGUAAUUUUCAUGCGUAUUUUGUCCUCCUUUGACUAUUUAGCUAGCAUGGGCCUCAUUGUGGGGUCAUCUGUCUUUGAUAUUUGUUGGCUACACUCAAUUUUGGUUCCGUUUCCAAUUUUAUCAUUUUCUAUUGGUUUAAUCGUUGUGUUUACACAUAUUUUGCCCUUUCUCAUUAUUUUACGUUGAUUCCUAUUUUUACUACUUGGGCUGCUGCUGUCUUCUUGUACUUCAUCAGCUUUUUUUGGGCCAUUGAUUCUUUGGGCUUGUGUGCCCCCACAUCAAUUUGCGACUUUCACCUUCUGCUUUUUUUGCUUAGUUUGGCCCUCAGUCUUCUUGCCUUUACAUUUGAGACGUCAUAGUUUAAUUUGGAUUUUAACGAUUAAACAUCUCUGUCUGUAUACAUGUUUGUCUAUAUACAAGAUUGGUGGUUUCCUCAACAGUAUUUACAGUGUCUUAAUAUCUUUGCAUGCUCUUUUUAGAGAAGGAAUUUAAUACUAUUGUGCUUUGCAUUAUUAUUAUUAUUAUUAUUUAGUACCAUUGUGGUUUAGUUUCAAUGUAAUUGUCCAGCUGAUUUUGGACUUCCAUUCGAUGGUUCAGAUUAUUGUUAUUAUUUAAUACCAUGCUGCUUUAGACUAUUAUUUAUAUUACAUAUGCCACCUAUUAUAUAUAGACAAUUAUUAUUUAUAUUGAUGUGCCACAUAUUACAUAUAUAAUAUGUUUCUUAAAAGAAUAUUACACUCUGCUCUCUUUGUUCCUGCUUUCUUCUUCUUUACUUGAUUAUUCUUUUUCGCCAGAUUCCUAUUGCAUGCCAUCUUUUAUGCUAUUGCUGAUGUGAGCUUUGUGUUCUAGCUGUUUGCCGUCUAUCUCGUGAAUUGUCUAAUCUGGAUUUAAUGUUUGUAUGUGCUUUGUUACUAUUUUCCAUUUACUAAUGGACGUUGAUUCUGCUUCAGUGUACUACUCCAGUCUUUGAGACCAUUAGAUUCUUAUUGCAGCUUGUUGUUGUGGAAUUGCAAUGAUUGUAUAUUUGUUUCUCCUUACUAUAUAUUUUUCCCACGACUGUGUUUUUGACAGGUUUUAUAUAUACUUAUUAUGUGAGAGCUCGAAAAUUUAUACUUAUUUGCAUGCACUUUUACUAGAAAGUUUGCAUGUGUUACUUUGCUUUAUCAUUGAUUAAUUGGAGUGUUUAAUUGAUUGCGUUAUACUUAAGUGUAUAAGAAUAUUUUAAAUUCAUGCAUGAUUCACAUUCAUGGAAAUUAACACUAAGUGAAACAAGAAACUAGUGGGUAAUGGUAUCAAAGUAUGAAAAUACAAGGUCAUAGUAUAAUAAUUCCUUCUUGCAUGCAUGAGACUUCACACUGGUCGUUGCUUCUUACACUUGUCAAAAAAAAAAAAGGGCCAUGCAAGUUAUGUCAAGACAAAACCUCCCAAACACCAAUUUUAGUUUCAUUCUUAUCUUGAACAUUUCUAAAAUUGAGAGAGAGGGAGUUGAGAGACCAAGAGAAAUUUUGAAGCUUUCAUCCUUCUUCAACGGUGGAACUCCAGCAAGAAACAAGUCACCACUUCAACUAGUUGAGUUAAAGGUAACGGGUGAGAGAGACCAAAGUUUUCCACUCUUUAUUCUUGCAAGACAAGAGGUAAACUUGUUAGCCAAAUCUUCCAUUUUCUCAAACACACCAAGAUGAUUGAUGCAUGUUAGUUUCUAGCCAAGAAAAUGGAAAUUUUGUGGGAAAGAAACCUCAUUAGAAGUUGAUUUUAUUGCUAAAAAAUUUAUAGAUUUGACUGAGGGUGACAUGAGCUCAUUUUGCAGCCUCUUAUUUUGAAAUUUUGAGGAGUUUCCGCUAGGAAUUCCUAAUAUAUAUAUGUUAUAUUUCUUGUUUAAUAUGAUAUUUAACAUUUUGCUUUGAUUUUAGUAGCAAGUUGUUGGCUUAAAUGUAAGAAAACUAGAAGAAACAAAGCUGAAAUAAUUUUUGUGAAACCGAUGGAGUGAAGCUGCAAGUUUGGUUCUUUCCUCCAAGAAAUCUUGAUGGAAUUUGUCUAAAUGUAACUUAUGUAUCUCCCAUCUCUCUUUCUAUGACAUGCAUGUAGUAUUUUGUUUAAAUUCAUUAGGAAUAAGACUUGAUUUGCGAAAAAGCUUUGCUGGAAAUUCUGUUGAGGUUAAUGCAUGUGGGCUGAUUGGAGUAGAACUGAAAUUUUCAGCUUUUACCUUGAAUUUUGAGUGAAUUUUUGCUAAGAUUUCAUGUUUUAUAUCAUGACAACUAUUUGCAUAGAAUCUGGUAGGUUUCUAUGGUUGAAAUAAUAGUUCUAUGUUCUUUGAUUUUGCUGAAAAUUUUCCACAUUGAUCUGAUUGUAGGAAAGCUGGAAUUUUCAACUUUCAUCUUGACUUGCUGAUGAAAUCCUUGCUAGGAGCCAUGUUAUAUACCUUGCUAGAUGUUUAUAUGUUGUUUAAUGUGCUAUAUUCUGAAUUAAGUGAAGGAAUUGGAGAUUAAAAUGAGAACUUAGGGAUGCUUUGCUGGAAAGUUUCUUGUGAGAACCCGUAAUUUUUCCCUUUUCAAGGUUUUAUUAUAUUUAAUGGCAUGUUUUCUGCAUUUUCUUUAUUCAAAAAGUUUCUAGAUAAUUUUUAUGAGUAAAUAUAGUUUUUAGGUGAGUUUUCUAGUAUUGGUUAGUUUUUAAGAAAUUAAGAGCGUAUACCGGACGUGGUACCCACUAAGGCGAAAAGUUCGGAAAAAUUCGGUCAAUUAGGUUAAGUUUGGGACACUGGGUUUAAAUUAUCGGGUGCUAAGAGAUAAUUAGAGGUUGCUAUUUGGAUUGGUGUGAGAGGAAACAAAGUGAUAGCUAUGCAUUUAAUAAAAUGACAAGUGUCACUUAGAGAUUGGUUGUACUUGAUGACCACUAUUCACCUUUUACCAUUUGACCAAAUAAAUCAAAAAAUUACCAAAAAUUCACCAUUUUUCUUCCUCUUCUUGGCCGGCCACCUCAAGCAAAAAGAAAGGGAAAAGCUCUUCAAAUAUUUGCUUCUAUCUUGCUCAAAUUCAACAAAACAACCAUUUGAUCUUGCAUUUGUUCCAUAAAACCCCUUCAUUUAGUGAUUGUGAGGUGUUUAGUGGAGUUGUUUGGAAGGCUAAGGUGAUUAGUUGCUCUCUCUCUUGUAUUACUAAGGUGAGUAGUGAAGGACCCCUCUCCUCCAUCUAAUGAUGUUUCAUUCAUGAUUUGUGGUAGUUUAAGAUGUAAUUUUAUGGAUUAUAUCUUGAUUUUGGUUGAAUUGGUGAAGUUUUAUAAUUAUUGGUGAUUUUUCUGUUUUCAUAUGAUUAUUAUUAUGGGGUCAUGUAUGAUGAUUGGAAAUGAUAUUUAAUGCAGCUAGAAGGUGUAUGUGGUGGAUAAUUGCAGGAAAUUUCUGUUUUGGAAAGAAAUUGGGAAAGUUAGGGUUUCAUUAUUUACAUUCUGUCCGGCACAGUACCUCAUAGUUAGAGGCCGAAUUGGCCUUGGGUUAAAACAUUAAAGUUGUAGGGAAUGAUAUUCUAGAUAUUCAUGAAAAAUUUCAGGUCAGUCGGAGAAACGUAACUUGUGAAAAGACUGAAAUACCCCUGCUGCCCUGGUUUCACCCGAACUUGAGAAUUGCUUCGGUAAUUGGUUAAUUUGGUUGGGAAUACUUCUGAUUUGGUUGUUGAGGUCUUCUGAAGAAAUGUAUCCUGAUGUCUUAGCUUUCGGAUGGCUUUGGAAUCACUUGAUUUGGACUUAGGUAGCCUGACUUAUGAUGUUUGAACCAGAAUGCGGUUUGUGAACCUGUUUUUUCGGUUCUGGUGUAGUAUAUUGCAUUUUUGACCUGGUUACACUCGAAACUGGACAGGGUAGCCUUCUUCAACAUUGUAACCCUAGCACUUAGCUUCGAAAUGGUGUAUCUUGUACCUCCAUCUGAUAAUCGUAGUGCCAAUGGUGCCAAACCGCAAACGGAUGUCAAAAACUAUUUUUUUUUGGGUUAGAACUUAAUGCCAUUUCCGGAUUUUCCUGGUUUACUCUAGUGCUUAUACAUUCUAGUGGAACCUUAUUUUGGUGGUAUUUGGCAUUGGUUAUGACUUGUAAUUGAGCCUUAUUAUUCUUAUUUGAAUGUUCUAGGCCGUGACGGUGGUGCAAGACGCUCUUAGGCGGAAGUGCAUGAAAUAUCAUUUGCUUGAUUGGUGAGUGUACCACUCACUUGUUGUUUACAAUGUGGCUUUGGUAUAUGUGAACUUGAUGCCUUGAAGGCUUAUUUGCUUCGUUGAACUUAAUUAAGUGAGGGUGUACUUGAUCGCCCUCACCCAUUUGGUAUCUCAUAUGACUGUCUACUGUUUUACUGCAAUGAUUGAAUGAUACAUGAAAUACUGAAUUGGUUCAUGAAUUUGGUGUCGCUUGGACGAGUAUCCAACGACCAUUACUGAUACGACUGAGCUCAACCCCAUUGGUAGUCGAUUGGAUCGAGUCGGCGAGGGCUUGGUCGUGAAAAUUGACGAGCCAUGGGGACUGUUAUAUGGAAUCUUGUAGUAGUGAGACUCUUGAUUCCGGUAUACUCGAGUAUUACCAAAUUUCUACUGUUUGGAGUUCGGGCCCGGUAGGGGUAUGUUGGGUGGAAGGAAUGGAAGUAAAGUGGAGCCUACGGUUGGUUACUCUUAAACAUUGACGGAGGGUCAAUGAGAUCCGAUCAAGAAUGCAAACGAGGAAAAGGGCUCUUGAGAGCCGCCCGUAUCCUUUUAUCACCACUAUUGAUGUGUGCCUUUGCUUACUUUUGAUGUAUUGGAAUGAAAAGCUUGAUGCUUAUAUGAACUUGGUUGCUUGAGUGGUAUUAUCUCAUUGGGCGUAAGCUCACUCUAUUCCCUUUUGUUUUCCUUACAGGAAAAUAAAUACUAUUGGACUGGAUUUGAUAGUUGGUUGCCAAAUUGAGCUAGAUGGACAUAUCUUUUGUAUAGCUCCUUGAUUGAAACCCUAAAUGUACUUUUGGGUCCGUUUCUCUUUUGAUUUGGCAAACUGUACAUGUAUCCACUUUUGAAUAACUUUUGUAUGCCACUUGGGAUUGUAUAUGCUUAAUUUCAACAUGUAAAUAUUUGCUUGAUGUUUGGUUGGGUUUUGACGUGUCGGUUACUAUUCAUGACCGACUCCGGUUUCAUUUUUUUUUAUCUUGACAUUUUGACUUGUUUACGCGUGUUUGUAUGUUCCGGAACGUAUUAGAUCGCUCUAAACUGAACCGUUGUCCUGGCGAGAGCUGGGCAGGCAGUCCGCUAACCCCUUUGGUUCGCCUUAAGGGAAGGUGGGGCUGUCACAGGUGGUAUCAGAGCCUAGGUUUGAAUUGGCCUGGGUGUAUUAGAAAUGCUUGAUUUGAGGAUUAUUUUGAUUACGUCCUUUAAGAUUAUUAUACUUAUUUCUUCUUUUGGUGUAGAAUGGACGGUCAUGGUGAGGCUAGUAGUCCCCCUACUGGAGAGCUACCCCGUGGGGUGCUUCCGGUGAUUCCGUACCAGAUCCGACCCAGAGGGGCCGUUGUGCGUUGGAGCCCGGCUAACCGCCUCCGACGUUGCGAGUGUCGACACAAGUACGCUUACCCUAAUUCUCUGGUGUUGGCAGUGGCCGAGGAGCGUAAGGAGUUGGCCGAAGAUAAGGCUAGGGUUGAGGCCGAGUUGAACCAGCUUAGGGCGGCCAAUGAGAAACAGGCUGAGCGCAUUAAGGGGUUGGAGUAUGACGUGCUUGAGGUAGAGGAUAGGGUUGAUGGCCUCUGCACUCAACUUAGGGAAGUUCGUGAGCGUGAGACUAAGCGAGCUCGAAAUGUUAAGGUUCGAGCCGCAUCGAUCCUGAACCUCUGCGUGGACAUGGUCGAGGGCGUGAGUGACGAGGACUCGUGUGCGGGACCCGAGGCUGGGGUUGGAUCCACCUCGUCGGGUGGGUCUACUAGCCCAUCGACGGACUAGGUCUCGACUCCUAGGUUUUUGGGAUAGUUUUGUUUCUUGUAUAUAGGGAUAGGGAAAGAACCUAAGCUAGCCGUUUGGUAUGUUUGGCUUAGCUACAUGUAUAAUCUUUUGAUAAGGCCAUUCCCUGGUGGUUUUUCUAUGUUUCGACUUGACUUGACUGUACUUGAUUUGACUGUACUUGGCUUGACUGGUUGUGAUAUGUGUGUUGUUUGACUUUGUUUGGAAUGUAUAUAUAUGUUAUUGUAAAAGCUUUUGGGAUUUUAUUUACAUGCAUUGUUAUUCUAUUGUUCUAGUACGUUUGCCUAGACCAAGUAGAGUUCAUGGAAGGUACACGUAGUGGACGGGGACGUGGGCGCGGAAAUAGACAACCCACACCGGACAGGGGUACUGGGGAACCCUCAUCUGGACCUAAUCCUGACCCCAAUGUGCAAGUCGCCGCCGCUAUGCAGCAAAUGACCAAUUUGCUGGCACAAGUGGUGCAGCAACAGGGCCAAAACCCAAACCCUAAUCCUGGAAACCCUGGCAACCACGUCGAGAGCGAAGACAGAGCUCUCGAACGAUUUCAAAAGUUUGCUCCACCCAAGUUCAUUGGGGGGCCCGAUCCGGAUGUCGCCGAAAGGUGGUUCGAGAAGAUGGUCAAUAUUUUUGCGGCCUUGCACUACACCGAAGAACGGCAGGUGACUUUUGCCGUUUUCCAGUUGGAAUGGGUGGCCCGUUCCUGGUGGAACGUAAUACGGCAAAAAUGGGAACGGGAACAAACGCCCAGGACUUGGGUGAAUUUCAUAAGGGAAUUCAACGCGAAAUUUUUCCCUCCUCUAGUUCAGGAGAGGAAGGAAGAUGAGUUCAUCCGACUCCGCCAAGGGACUCAAUCUGUGGCGGAAUACGAGAGUCAAUUUACCCGCCUGUCCAAAUUUGCGCCUGAGCUGAUCAUGACCGAGCAACGGCGGAUCAGGCGCUUUAUCCAGGGCUUGAAUGUCGAAAUCCAGAAGGACCUCGCAGUGGCUCAAAUCAAUGCUUUUAGCGAGGUCGUGGAAAAGGCCCAACAAGUAGAGAGUGCUAGAUUUCAAGUCCGGAACUUCCAGGCAAAGAAGCGGGGUUUUCCUGGGAGUAGUUCAGGAUAGGGUGAGAAGAGUACCCCCUCCAAGUUUGGACGAGGAAUGGGAGGUGGACGACAGUCGGGUACAGGCAGUCGGGUCUAGGGGUGGCCAAGCUGGGUGAGGCCAAAAAGGAAAUUUUCAGGGAGGCUCAGCUUCAGCACCUCGCGGUCCCUGUGGGCAUUGUGGGAAGCCAAACCACAUGGAAGAUAACUGCUGGAGGAAGGAGGGCAAAUGUCUGCGAUGUGGAAGCGCAUACCACCAGUUGGCUACUUGCCCAGUCCUAAAAUAAGACGGAAAUGGGAGUCAACCACCGUCGAGGACCAAUGCUGGACCAGUUAAGGGAGAUGGGUCCAAACCGAAGGUGCCAGCUAGAGUGUAUUCGUUAGGACCCCAACAGGUCCCAGAUUCCUCAGAGGUCAUAGAAGGUACGAUCCUUAUUUUCCACCGUUUUGCCAAAGUUUUAAUUGAUCCUGGUGCCACUCAUUCCUUUGUUAACCCUGAUUUCAUGUGUGGCAUCAAUAUAAAACCUGCUAGUUUAUCAUACGACCUAGAAGUUAGUACACGUAUGGGGAAUCAACGUUUGGUUACUAGUAUGGUUUAUAGGGAUUGUGAAGUGUGGGUAGGAGAGAAGAGAUUGUUAAGGGAUUUAAUUAGUCUGGCCAUCAAAGGGUAUGAUGUAAUUUUGGGUAUGGAUUGGCUAGCCAAGUAUAAUGCCCAACUGGAUUGUAAAACGAAAGUGGUAGCAUUUCGUAUUCCCGGUGAGGCAACCUUAAUGUUGGAUAUAAGGGGUAGGUUAGCCUCAUCUGCUUUGAUUUCGGGCAUUCGGGCUAGGAAACUGGUAAGUAGAGGGGCGCAAGGAUUUUUAGCCUUUCUGAUUAACACCCCCUCGGAUAAGUUAAAAGUGGAGGACGUGGCCAUAGUAAAGGAAUUUCCGGAUGUAUUUCCUGAUGAGUUAGUAGCCCUACCUCCGGAAAGAGAGAUAGAAUUCAAGAUAGACAUGCUCCCUGGAAUUUCACCCAUUUCAAAAACACCAUACCGAAUGGCCCCUGCAGAGCUCAAGGAGCUAAAGUUGCAAUUAUAGGACCUUCUGGAGCGGGGAUUCAUUCAAGAGAGUGGGUCUCCUUGGGGAGCUCCUGUCCUGUUUGUCAAGAAAAAAGACGGAGGUUUGAGGAUAUGUAUCGAUUAUCGGGGCCUAAAUAAUAUUACGGUUAAGAAUAAGUAUCCACUGCCCCACAUAGAUGAGUUGUUUGACUAGUUGCAGGGAGCGGUGGUCUUCUCGAAACUGGAUCUCCGCCAAGGGUAUUACCAGUUAUUAAUCAGGAAGGAAGAUAUUCCGAAAACCGCCUUCAACUCGAGAUAUGGGCAUUACGAGUUCGCAGUUAUGCCCUUUGGAUUAACCAAUGCUCCUGCCGCCUUCAUGGACCUAAUGCAUAGGGUUUUUAAGCCCUACCUGGAUCGAUUUGUCGUAGUCUUCAUCGACGACAUUCUGGUCUAUUCCAAGACACGUGAAGAGCAUGAGCAGCACUUGAGGAUUGUCUUACAAACCCUAAGAGACCAUCAACUGUACGCCAAGUUCAGCAAGUGCGAAUUUUGGCUGGAGAAAAUUUCUUUUCUGGGACACGUAAUUUCUCAAGAGGGUAUUUCAGUUGACCCGGCGAAAGUAGAGGCUGUGACUAAUUGGAAGAGGCCAGAAAACCCCACAGAGAUCCGCAGUUUUCUAAGGCUAGUUGGGUAUUACCGACGUUUCAUUAAAGACUUCUCUAAAUUAGCAGGUCCUUUAACUGACCUGACAAAGAAACAUGGUCGGUUCUUAUGGAAUGCCCGAUGUGAGACGAGUUUUCAAGAAUUAAAGAAAAGAUUGACCAUGGCUCCAGUGCUAGUCUUACCAAACGGAGUGGACAGAUUUGCUGUGUAUACUGACGCGUCACGAGAAGGCCUGGGUUGUGUAUUAAUGUAGAACCGUAAUGUGAUCUCUUUUGCCUCUAGAAAGUUGAAACUUCAUGAGCAAAAUUACCUGACCCACGAUCUGGAGCUAGCCGCCGUUGUUUUCGCACUGAAAAAGUGGAGACACUACCUAUAUGGGGUGACCUUUGAAGUGUACUCGGACCAUAAGAGUCUUAGGUACCUCUUUUCACAGAAGGAAUUAAACAUGAGGCAGCGACGGUGGAUGGAAUUUUUGGAGGAUUACGACUGUACCAUCAACUACCAUCCAGGAAAGGCGCAAGUAGCAGGGUUAAUGAUUAAAGAGUGGAAUUUGCUCGAGUCAGUUUGCGAGUGGAAACCCUACCUUGGGAGUCAUAAAGUGAUUUUUGGUAACAUUAAGGUAACCUCCACCCUUUUGGAGCGGAUAAAAGAAGCGCAAAAAGAGGAUGCUAUGGUACGGAAGUGGGGAGAGAAAGUGAAAAAAGGAGAAACGACUGAUUUCAAUUUCAGUCCUGAGGGUAUUUUAAAAUACCGGAACCGAAUAGUGGUGCCGAAAGAUGAGUCGUUGAAAACGGAAAUUUUAGCGGAAGCUCAUCGGUCCAAGUAUACAAUCCAUCAGGGUAGUAGUAAGAUGUAUCAGGGCCUGAAAUGAACCUAUUGGUGGGAUAAUAUGAAGAAGGAAAUCGCUCUGUACGUGCAAAAAUGUCUCGUUUGCCAACAGGUUAAGGCGGAACAUCAAAAACCAUCGGGCUUGUUACAACCCCUUGAGAUACCCGAAUGGAAGUGGGAGAACAUCACAAUGGACUUUGUUUCAGGUUUACCACGAACGCAACGAGGACACGAUGCCGUUUGGGUAAUCGUCGACCGGUUAACCAAAUCGGCUCACUUCCUGCCGGUAAACAUGAAGUAUUCCAUGGAUAAGUUGGCCCAGCUGUACAUGGCCGAGAUCGUAAGGCUACACGGUGUUCCAGUCAGUAUCGUCUCCGAUCGAGAUCCACGUUUCGUAUCUAGAUUUUGGCAGAAAUUUCAUGAAACGCUAGGGACGAAACUCAACUUGAGCACGACCUAUCACCCUCAGACGGAUGGACAAUCGGAGCGAACCAUCCAAACUCUUGAGGAUAUGCUACGGACUUGCAUUCUGGAUUUUGGAGGCAACUGGGGUCAACACAUGACCUUAGUAGAGUUUGCGUACAACAACAACUACCAUUCGUCGAUUCAAAUGGCUCCAUACGAGGCACUAUAUGGACGAAAAUGCCGAUCACCGAUCUACUGGGAUGAAAUUGGUGAGAGAAAGGCCUUAGAUCCAACCACUAUUCCAUGGAUGGAGGAGGCGCGAGAAAAGGUGAAGCUAAUACGGCAACGACUCCAAACAGCUCAAAUUCGACAAAAGAGCUACGCAGAUAAUUGAAGAAAAGACUUGGAGUUCGAAGUUGGAGACCGUGUUUUCCUCAAGGUUACACCGUUAUGGAGUGUCACGACGGGUAGAGGAAAGAAAUUACAACCGAGGUUCGUCGGACCUUACAAGAUCCUGCAGAGAAUAGGUGCGGUAGCAUAUAGGCUAGAGUUGCCGUCAAGUCUCUCGAGAAUUCACGACGUUUUCCACGUUUCGAUGCUCAAGAAGUACUAUCCCGACUCAUCCCAUAUCUUACAACCAGAAGAGAUCGACGUAGACGAAUCGCUUGCUUACGAAGAGAAACCUGUCCAAGUGCUUGACCGAAAAGUCAAAGAGCUAAGAAACAAGCAGAUUCCGUUGGUUAAAAUACUGUGGAGAAACCAUGGGGUAGAGGAAGCUACCUGGGAAGUGGAAGAAGAAAUGCGAAAGAAAUACCCUGAACUUUUCGUGAGUUAAGGUGAGAAAUUUCGCGGGCGAAAUUCUUUUAAGGGGGAGAGAGUGUGAGAACCCGUAAUUUUUCCCUUUUCUAGGUUUUAUUAUAUUUAAUGGCAUGUUUUCUGCAUUUUCUUUAUUCAAAAAGUUUCCAGAUAAUUUUUAUGAGUAAAUAUAGUUUUUAGGUGAGUUUUCUAGUAUUGGUUAGUUUUUAAGAAAUUAAGAGCGUAUACCGGACGUGGGACCCACUAAGGCGAAAAGUUCGGAAAAAAUCGGCCAACUAGGUUAAGUUUGGAACACUGGGUUUAAAUUAUUGGGUGCUAAGAGAUAAUUAGAGGUUGCUAUUUGGAUUGGUGUGAGAGGAAACAAAGUGAUAGCUAUGCAUUUAAUAAAGUGACAAGUGUCACAUAGAGAUUGGUUGUACUUGAUGACCACUAUUCACCUUUUACCAUUUGACCAAAUAAAUCAAAAAAUUACCAAAAAUUCACCAUUUUUCUUCCUCUUCUUGGCCGGCCACCUCAAGCAAAAAGAAAGGGAAAAACUCUUCAAAUAUUUGCUUCUAUCUUGCUCAAAUUCAACAAAACAACCAUUUGAUCUUGCAUUUGUUCCAUAAAACCCCUUCAUUUAGUGAUUGUGAGGUGUUUAGUGGAGUUGUUUGGAAGGAUAAGGUGAUUAGUUUCUCUCUCUCUUGUAUUACUAAGGUGAGUAGUGAAGGACCCCUCUCCUCCAUCUAAUGAUGUUUCAUUCAUGAUUUGUGGUAGUUUAAGAUGUAAUUUUAUGGAUUAUAUCUUGAUUUUGGUUGAAUUGGUGAUGUUUUAUAAUUAUUGGUGAUUUUUCUGUUUUCAUAUGAUUAUUAUUAUGGGGUCAUGUAUGAUGAUUGGAAAUGAUAUUUAAGGCAGCUAGAAGGUGAAAAAAGUGGUUAAUUGCAGGAAAUUUCUGUUUUGGAAGAAAUUUGGAAAGUUAGGGUUUCAAGUUCUUACAUUCUGCCCGGCACUGUAGGUUAUAGUUAGAGGCCGAAUUGGCCUUGGGUUAAAACAUGAAAGUUGUAGGGAAUGAUAUUAUAGGGAUGGCUACAAAAUUGCAGGUCAAUCGGAGCAACGUAGCUUGAGAAAAGACUGAAAUACCCCUACUACCCUGGUUCUACCCGAAUUUGAUAAUUGCGUCUGUAAUUGGGUAAUUUGGUUGGGAAUGCUUCUGAUUUGGUUGUUGGUGCCUUCUGAUUAAUUGUAUCCUUGUAUCUUAUCUUUAGGAUGGCUUUGGAAUCACUUGAUUUGGACUUAGGUAGCCUGACUUAUGAUAUUUGAACCAGAAUGUGGUUUGUGAACCUAUUUUUGCGGUCCUGGUUUAGUAUCUUGCAUUUUUGACCCAGUUACACUCGAAACUGGGUAGAGUAGCCUUUUUCAACAUUGUAUCCCUAUCUCUUAGCUUCGAAACGGUGUAUCUUUCACCUCCAUCCGAUAAUCGUAGUGCCAAUGGUGCCAAAACCGUAAACGGAUGUCAAAAACUAUUUUUUUUGGGUUAGAACUUAAUGCCAUUUCUGGAUUUUCCUGGUUUACUCUAGUGCUUAUACAUUCUAGUGGAACCUUAUUUUGGUGGUAUUUGGCAUUGGUUAUGACUUGUAAUUGAGCCUUAUUAUGCUUAUUUGAAUGUUCUAGGCCGUGACGGUGGUGCAAGACGCUCUUAGGCGGAAGUGCAUGAAAUACCAUUUGCUUGAUUGGUGAGUGUACCACUCACUUGUUGUUUACAAUGUGGCUUUGGUAUAUGUGAACUUGAUGCCUUGAAGGCUUAUUUGCUUCAUUGAACUUAAUUAAGUGAGGGUGUACUUGAUCGCCCUCACCCAUUUGGUAUAUCAUAUGACUGUCUACUGUUUUACUGCAAUGAUUGAAUGAUACAUGAAAUACUGAAUUGGUUCAUGAAUUUGGUGUCGCUUGGACGAGUAUACAACGACCAUUACUGAUACGACUGAGCUCAACCCCAUUGGUAGUCGAUUGGAUCGAGCCGGCGAGGGCUUGGUCGUGAAAAUUGAUGAGCCAUGGGGACUGUUAUAUGAAAUCUUGUAGUAGUGAGACUCUUGAUUCCGGUAUACUCGAGUAUUACCAAAUUUCUAUUGUUUGGAGUUCGGGCACGGUAGGGGUAUGUUGGGUGGAAGGAAUGGAAGUAAAGUGGAGCCUACGGUUGGUUACUCUUAAACAUUGACGGAGGGUCAAUGAGAUCCGAUCAAGAAUGCAAACGAGGAAAAGGGCUCUUGAGAGCCGCCCGUAUCCUUUUAUCACCACUAUUGAUGUGUGCCUUUGCUUACUUUUGAUGUAUUGGAAUGAAAAACUUGAUGCUUAUAUGAACUUGGUUGCUUGAGUGGUAUUAUCUCACUGGGCGUAAGCUCACUCUAUUCCCUUUUGUUUUCCUUACAGGAAAAUAAAUACUUCUGGACUGGAUUUGAUAGUUGGUUGCCGAAUUGAGCUAGAUGGACAUAUCUUUUGUAUAACUCCUUGAUUGAAACCCUAAAUGUACUUUUGGGUCCGUUUCUCUUUUGAUUUGGCAAACCGUACAUGUAUCCACUUUUGAAUAACUUUUGUAUGCCACUUGGGAUUGUAUAUGCUUAAUUUCAACAUGUAAAUUUUUGCUUGAUGUUUGGUUGGGUUUUGACGUGUCGGUUACUAUUCAUGGCCGACUCCGGUUUCAUUUUUUUUAUCUUGACAUUUUGACUUGUUUACGCGCGUUUGUAUGUUCCGGAACGUAUUAGAUCGCUCUAAACUGAGCCAUUAGUCCUAGCGAGAGUUGGGUAGGCAGUCCGCUAACCCCUUUGGUUCGCCUUAGGAGAAGGUGGGGCUGUCACAUUUCUAGCUUAUAACCGAUUGGAAGAAAGACAUGAAUAUUCUAUUUUUAACUUGAAUUUUGAAUGGAUUUUUGCUAAGGUUUAAUGCUUUAUACUUUGACAAUGUUCAUAUGGAGUUUUAGGGUGUUUAAUGUUGAAAUGAUGUGGGAAAGUUUGGAAAGUCAGAAUGAAUUUUGAAACUAAAAAAUGUUGCUGGAAAGCUGUUAAGUAGCCGAGGAGAGAGAGAGAGCUGGAAUUCUCCACCUUUAUCUUCAAACGUUUGGUUUAAUUUUGAUAUGUUCUGCUUAAGACAUCUUAUGGUCUCUUAAUCACAAUUUGCAUGCAGAAUCCCAUUAAUUUAAAACAAGAAAAUUGUGUUGUGUUUGGAAGAAAAAGAAGUGUUUCAUUUUCUGGAAACUUUGGCAACCUUAGUCUUGGCUUUCAGUUGGAAUUUCGGAUGGACUCUUGCUAUGAACUGUGUUAUAUGUACCUUGAUUUAUGUUGUAUAUGAUGAAUUGUGAGUUGUGUGCAGGAAUUACAUUAGAGGUUUGGAAGAAUUAGGGUCAGUGUGCUGAAUUUUUGUAAACUUGACACCAAAACUUGAUUUUUAGCAUAACUUUUCUAUCAUUGCAAUUUCGUGACUAGUAAAUUGGCACAAAUGUAGUAAAUUUUCUUGGUUGAGGACUGUUUUCAUAUGAAACUAGUUAAUUAAACAUCAAAAUGCUAUAUUAUGGCCUAGGUUUAUAAUUUUAGGAGUUCAGAUCCUUGAACUAGUUCUUAAAAGUUAAUAAUUGACUAAACCCUAAUUUUUGACAUAGGCGUCUACUUUUGUGAAAUUAGAUAUGAGAAGGGGAAAACUUAGUUCUUAAACCUUAUACUAAGGAAAUAAACAACAACUAUAAGCGUUCAUAUCGAUUCCAAAAGCCAAGUUUGAGCUAGAAACACAACCCUACACCGAGGUGUGAACUUCAAUUACUUAAAGCUUGGUGAAUGUCCUAUAUUUGUUUGUAAUGAUUGAAUACAUGAUCAAUGAUAAAUGUUAUGUGCUUAGUUGACUAAUACUUGUUGGAUUAUUGAUGUUUGAAUUGUUUGAGUGAAAAUUGACAAUUGCUACUAUUUACUGAAAGGUGAGCGCAUACUUUAUUGCACUCAACCUAAGUGAAUUUUGAAAAUAAUAAAUGCCUAAUUGUUACUGAAAUUGUGCAUGAAUGUAAGCCGAGUAUGUACUUUAUCACAUCAUUUGAACUGGGCCCCAAACCCCACUGUUGGAUAGUCUAUUCGAACCGGUAACAGGGUUGGUCGAGUAGGCUAGAAGACAUUGGGUACUGAAAUGUUUGGUAUGCUCGAGUAUUACCCCCUUAAUAAGGCGCAUGUGGAAGUGACAAAGUGAUUAAUAAUUGAAAGGGAUUGUUUACUGUUUUGGAGGAUAUAAGGAGGAGAUUGGUGGAGUGUGAAGUGAUUGCAGGAAGUUGUGCAAUGAAUUAUUGAACGGAGCUAAGUGCUACGUUUGGAAACGGACGGGAGCCACCUCUAGAGUCCGUAUUAGUACCGUAUCCUUUGAUAUUGAUUGUGUUAUUUGUUAAGAAUUGUUUCACGAAUUAUCCUAUUAUUAAUUGGUUUGUUAUUCCCAUUAUAUUACUGAAAAUGUGAAAUUGUGUGUUUAAGGUUACUUGUUUUCCUAAAACCUCACCGGGAGUAAGCUCAUGCCUUUAGUUUGUUUUCCAUAAUAGAGGUUGGAAACGUGGAAUUGGGGAAUAGUGAGCUUGAGAGUUGAAAUCUUUGUUUUAAAUGAAUUGCCAUCCUAUUUAUACUUACUGAAUUGAUUGAACAACUUAUAUUUUGAUCCGUUUGGUUGUACAUAUAAGUAUGGAUGAUUUGGAAUGUUGGAUGGUUUGUAGUGUUUAAUUGUGGUCUUUUAAUGCUUACUUUGGAUUUAAUGCUAUUGAUUGGAAGAUUUUGAGUGAGUCCUGGCUAGUGUUAGGUAGGCGGCCUGUUAAAUCUUAGGGUACACCCUAAGGGGAGGUAAACUUGUCACAUAUUAGCUAUCAAAUCUACAUUUAAUGCUUGGUUUAUACACUUCUUGUAUUAUGUCCAUUGAUUAUUUUAUUAUAGUGGCUUGGUCAAGCUUCUCGUGGCGUUAGAUUUUUGUUGGAGCUUUCGUUAGUAGUGAAGUUGCAAUUAUUAUAUUGGCUUUGGGUCAUUAGCUUUUUAUAUCUAUUUCUCUAUUGUCUGCCGCAUCUAUUUUGUACCAUCUUUCCUGCUCUUUAUUUUAGUUUCUCUACUUUGCAUUUGCUUGGGUAAGCCAUUUGCUUGCUUUCCUUUAAUUGCUCUUAUUCUCAUAUUUUCUUUUAUCUUUGAUCACAUGAAGUUAUAAUUGUUUUUCAUGUGAUAAUUGUUUUUCAUGUGCUGGUGUUCAUGUUUAGUCUUCUUUUCUUAGUAGAUUCCUCAGCGUUGCUUCACUUCAGCUUUGUAGUCAACGAAGCUGUAUUUAUUGCCCUUGUUCCUUGUGUUGAUCGUUUGCUUUUAAAGUAUCUACAUUUAUCUACUUUCUGCUCUUAUGUUCGAAGUAAUGUUGUUAUCAUUUUCUCUUCACUAUUAAUUACGUUAGAAUAUCUAUUGUUUUGUCAUGGUUAUUUUUUAUUUAUUGCUUAAUAUAGAAAGUUAUUUUUGUUUGUUGUAGCUUUUCGAUUUCCAUUGAAUCUAAAUAUUUUGUUAUGUCUGCUUAACAGAAAAAGAUGAAAGAAACAUGGGUAAUUCGUUCUCUUUGCGUGCAAUCUCUCCUUCUGAGAAGCUGAUCGGCAGAUUUGCCUUCGAUCUCUCUCUUCCUUAGAGUCCAUUACAUUUCAAUGAACCGUAAAAAAUUCAAUCCCUCGAUUUGUUCUGGCGAAAGCUUUCCCCAGUAUGGUAUAUAUAGAUUCUAAUGAUGAUUUGCCUAUGCUUCUGCCGGGCCUCAACCCAAGUCGCAGCCGAUGGCGCUCAAGAUAGCAUCUUUGGAGGAAAAGAACAAGGAAAAAUAAACAAGAAGAAAAGGGAUGUUUCCGAAUCAGGAGAUAAUAGUUUCCAGGGAUCUGAUGAUGAUCAAUGCAGAAUCUGUUUGUCUGGUUGCAGAGAUGAUUUGCCAUACUUGUGGAGGGUUCGUCCAAGGUGCAAGCACGGAUUUCAUGCAGUUUGCAUUUAUAAAUGGUUAAAGACUAAUGCAACCUGUCCAAUAUGUCGCCAGAGUGUUUAUGUUACGUGAUUAAUCACUAGGGUUUUUUCUUAAUUAGAGAUAAAUAUUAAAAGUUCUUUGUAGCUAGGAGUCUUAUCUUGGAAAAUUUUGUAAGUUGUAUAUAAUCAAAUUCUUUAACCAAAGCUGGUAACCUAAAAAAAAAAAAAA
rnacentral:lncRNA from 1 species